UGCAAUAGACAUAUCUCGGCAAAUGCUAGGCAAUAAAAGAUGCAUCAGGCAAACACAGGCUAAUAACGAUAUAGAGAUAGAUAGAUAGAUAGCAAUGGCACUUGCAGCCAAUGUGUAUGUACAGCAAAAGACCAGGCCACAUAAAUAGCAGCGAUCUAAGUUGAUGGUCGCCAUGUUCGCCAACACUAGAGAGCACACCUAAAAGGCUUCUAAGACUAGUAUGUACAGGCAAGGAUAGAUAAGGCUGGUGUGGCGGGGAACCCUCUGCUUUCUUCCCCUCCUAUCAUCAGCUCCACACCCGAUCAUGUUGUAAGUUUAGCGAGCCGCCCACAUCUACGUAUCUUGUUUCCCUACAUGAUAAUACUUACAAAACCACGCGCGAGUUUCUGCUGCGUGUGGCGCGGGCAGCCAGCGUCAGUAUCUGUUUCCAGUCAGGACAGGUGGAAGGACCCCUGCCCCUCAGUAAUCGCGUAGAGUAGCUUCUCCCUCAUCCUUUCCUGAAGGGCAAAAGGCUUGGUGUUAGUACACCAAUGUACGGUAACUUUCAGGAAACUCAAACGUAUAGUAACUGGAACUGACUACUGCAAAUAAUCAUGCCAGAAAAGGCAUGUUCAGAAUGCCAAUUACUACUGACUUGGAUGUGCGCUUCAUAGUCCAUAGUUUCUUUUAGCUUAUAAGUGUUACAUCAAGACAUUAAAGCGCUUAUCUUAAUUAAUAAAAAUAUUAAUAAGAAUAGAAGUAAACUAAUCUACCAAGAUGUUCUCAGUUUAGGUAGCAGAAAGGUAGAGAGCUCAAACCUUAGAGCAGUAGGCAGGUAACUUAAGAUAGUUAGCGCAAGUCAUCACACUUGGCAGAUCAUCAUCAGCAUCGUUGUUGCUAUGCUGUUAAUUGUAUAGCACAAGUUAGCAAUCUAGUAAAAAGUAACUGAUAGAGAGAUAGAGAGGUAGCUUUAAAUUGUGAAAACAGACCUUCCUGACAACUGUCAAAUUUGGAUUCAGUGCAGCCAGACCGCCUGGAGGGAGCCGAGGUGAACCAGUUAUAAAUUGCAAGAAAGCUCUGCGUUCAUGGCAUCCAAACUCUUGUAUGAUCUCUAACAACUGCAGCGCAUUAAGAUUUCUUGUUAUGGUACUUAGAUACUAUUUUUCUUGGAAAAUGGAACUUCAAAAUGUAUCUACUAAUAAAAGACUUACAUUAAGGACUGCAGGACUGCUGGAGGUGUAGCCAUGAUCAAAUUUUAUGUGAUCCACAAGUUUCACAAACUGUUCAGAAGCAAGGUGUCAAUAACGAAAAAACGAAUAUUUACAAGAAAAUCAACAACUUCCAACAAAAGUAAUCUUGUUCGACACAGUGUAAUCUUGUUCUCCGCAUAUUUACAAGAAAAGGCACAUACAUCCCAGUUAUCUUGUUCUCCGCAGAGUAAUCUCUCCAGCUCAUCCUCUGAGAAUGCCCGAAGUGUGCUUAGUGAAAAUACCUGCAAAACCCAGUGUAAGUGUAGCACAACAAAUUGGAUUUUUUAAACUACGAGCAGUAAGAGACAACACCAGAGAAGAGUGAAAAAUGUAUAAUGAGAAGUGAAACAUCGAGUUCAUGUCACCCUAUUGGCCCCAUGUGAGGUUCAUGAGUUACAAAUCAAAGCAACCUAGCGCCUAUAUACACCUGAACAAACAGAUGAGGAAGCUCUGGUAAAAAAAGGACGAAGGGCGAGUCAAUCGCCAAAUCAAAAUGAUUGCCAUCAGAAACAGUUAGAAGUGUAUACAUAUUGGAUUAAGACUACUUAAGAAAUAGUACAUAGGGUUAUUAAAUGAGGAAUUGCUUUUGCAUUGUCUAAUUAACGCAUUACUGCCAAGUUCCUCCGAGGAUAAAAGCGCUAGUAGGAAGCAGCAAAUUUGCAACUUUGUCAAAGAGUGUAGAACGCAUAUAAACUAAGAACUGUAGAGCCAUGAUAGCUUCUAGGUAAUGCAUCCUACACGCACUCCACAUUUUGUGAACUGGGACAACCCAACCAUGGUGUAACUGAAAAGCUGUCAUUAGUUACACACAAGUAUAAUCAUAUGAGAGCAGCACCAUGAUAUAGCAUACCUGACUGAAUCCUGACUCAAAGGCCUCCAGCUGUCUUGUGAUUCCACUUUUAACUGUUGCCUCGACAACAAAAGAAACAUAUUCUUCCAAAUUCUCACCAGUUACCUGAAAAUAACUUAAGUAAUUUAGGGAAUACUUUAAUCUGCUGCGAACCCGGCAACGGAAAGUGGCACGGUCAUAUCACUUACAUUAUCUGAAGUACCCUCUGAAGAAAGCACAUAUUCUGGAUACCCUGGGACAGCAAAGUCAAUAACAAGAUCCUCAAUUUUACAACCUCGAUAAGACAAAUCAGAUGUGCUCUGGCAUUCCCUUGUCGAACAUGAUUCUAAAUAUUUCCUUUGACAAGUAAGCGCUUUAAACUCCAUAAGGGUCAUUGCCAGUUCAGGAUCAAAUGAAUUGAUAUCAUAUAUAUUAAGCUCCUAUCAUAGUAAAGACUAUUAGAUCGACAAACAGAAGAAAGCAUAAUAAACAUGAUAUAUUUCCGAGAAUAUAGGACCCAAAAUACCUGUCCUAGGAUAAGCUUGUAAAAUGCUUUGGAAAAUGGAAUGUCAAGAAUUCUGCCAUCCUUAAUUGCCUUUGCGAGAACCUGACCAAGGAGGUGAAACCUUUUAUUUACUUCCGAGAAGGAAGCACAGUCUACAGAAGCAGACCACGGUCGAGGAAACAGUCCAUUAGGCGCGACCACAGUCCGGGAACCAAUGUGAGCAUUGUUGGUGCCAGCUUCACAAGGAAGCUCACCCCUCCACAUGCCUAAACCAGACUUCUGAAACUCAUGACUUAUCAACGUAUAGAACUCCAUUGUAGGACCUAAACCUGUACCUACUUCUUCUUCAUAUUCUACUUCAAGCAGUGCACUACUCUUAGCAUAGGAAUGCAUCAUUUUCGCAGCUGAAGCCAGUAUAUCAUCACGAUCAACUUUGAACUUUUUCCGUGAAAUGGGUGAACCUCUUUCUGUUGAUAUAUUGCUACCACUUGUAUCUAUCAAAUGACCACGUUGCAUUGAUGAAGAACCAAAUGCUGUCAGUUGGAAAUACUUCCAUCUUGCCUCAAAGGAAAAUAAGAAAGGGCACGCAGACAUCAGUUCAGUGCACCAUAAAGGCAGACAGCGAGACCUUAAAACCAAGGGAUCAUGCAUCUGUUGCUCCAGUUUAUCUGUCAAUUUAGCACUAACAAACUCCUGCAGUGGAACUGAAGAAACAGAAGGCUUCAGAUCAUCAAGGUCAGUUAACUUCCCUUGAGCAAAAGCAUGGUUUCUCUCAUUAGACACGAGGUGAAACGAGUAUCGGUUUAAUCCUUCUAAAACUUUCAGCAUAAACAAUAUGUCAUACAAUGAAUUUGAUCUAUCAAGUUUGCAAGGGAUCUUCCCAAGCAACAAACUGCUGAAGAAAGGGAGUGCUUGCCACAUUAAACCAGUUUUACUGUCAUUUGUUGAUAUCGCUGCAUUAGAAAGGUUCUCAGGAGAAUCAUCUUUUUCUGGAUUUGCAGCUGUUCGAAAUGUUAUGUCAUGCACACUGCGCCAAAACUGGGUGUCCAAAAUUACAUCAGCUCCCGCAUUGAUCUGAUCUUGCAGGAUUGAUUGAUAUAGAGUAACAGAUCGGUCAAGCUCUUUUCCUUUCAGGCUAAAUACCAGUUUCGGCUGUACAGCACAAUCAGUCCCGGUCGACUUGUUUCGUUCUGGUUGACCUCCAGCUGCACAUCCAUUAUGGUAUUGAGGUUACCAGAACAAGAGACAGGUUGCAAAUUAGAGAAUAACAGCUAGUAAUUAAGUCAAAUCUAGACACACACUCACCGGAAGAUGGCGACCCUUUCUUCGAGCAUGGUUCUACAGAAGAAUCUUGAUUUUCUCUGAUGAUACCCUGAAAAGGAGCAAUUCUAGUCUUAAAACACGGAAACCUAGAAGUAUGAACAGCGAUAAACUGUGGAUUUAUUGGAUAAUUCUUUCCGGUAUCAACGGGUAUGUAUGAAGUAAUAGCCAAACCAUGCAUAACCUCUACGGCACUAAAAGAAAGUUAUAAAUAUAAGCAAGUUAGCACUCAGCCUAUUCAUAUUUCAAUAUAUCCCAACUGUUAAUGUUUCUUAAGAUUGCAAACAGAAUAAUACCUCUGAUGAAGGAGAAGAUUCUGGGCUGGAAUCUCUUUCCUGAGGGUCAUCUUCAGCACAUCUGCUCUCGAAAGCAACACUACUAGGUGGUGAUUCAGUAUUCUGAUCACUUGUGCAUGUACUGACUUUGGGCCACAGAAAUUGUUCAAUAGAAUGCAAGGAAGAAGAGAUUUCCAAAUUCACAGAAUUAUCAUAGCUUGAUAAGUUUGUUUCAUCUUCAUCCUUCUUGAAACGUACUCGGAUACAUGGACUAAUUGUUGAGUGGCGAAUAGGGAUAUCAGAAAUAUUGUUCCUUGGCUUGAAAUUGUGGCUCAUUAUCACUGGGAAGUUGUCAAGAGAAGUAAGAGCAUUCUGCAGUUUCCUUACAAGUAGUGUCAAGAGCAUAUCACCCCAACCUUGCUCCAUUCUUGAGAAACAAAUCCGGGCAAAUGACUGAAAUCUUUUCAGCACAGCACAAAAAUGUUCAGCAUUGUAAUCUUUAAGAUUGUCAUCCACCUGAAGGUAUUUGCCGUUAGACAGGUAAUUUAACAAAGAUUUGACCAGUCCACUCUCAAGGAAUUCAAACGUCGUCAUUGUUUCUCCUCCGUGAAGCUCCAUCAUCACCUCGCUCAAAAUGGUAGACAAGUGUUCUUCAUUUUGAAGACUGUCUUGGUUUAAUGACUUGUCAGCAGAGUCAUUUAGAACUGCACAGCAAGUUUUGAGCUUCUGCAAAAUCUCUGUUAACCCCAUCUCUGAAUUCACUGCUUCAGCUGUAAAGUAAGUUGUCUUCACAUGUCUUGCGAAAUUAAAAAGGUUCCCCUGCCCAAUCCUACAAGCCCUUGUUUCAGCAGAUUCAGAUUGGCGGGAAUCAAAUGCAUAGCAGAAACAUGUAGGUUUAUUUCUUAUAACAGGUUGAUUUUCUGACUGCUGAGUGUCAUCAGAGAGAGGGGGGCUGGACUUUGAGCAAUCCUCUUGCAUAAGAAGAGCCUCUACUGCAUUGACAACACCUUCUUUGAUAAAAGAUCCAAGGUAAGCAUCCGGAAGUUUUUGCAUGAGAAUCUCGAUAAUCUUCAGUGAUGAGAUUAGCACAUGAUGAUCCUUCCGGGACAAUAAACCAGCCAAGAAGCUGUCACAUAAUCACAGAAGUAAUAUAUUCAUUUAGACUCAGACAAUUAACGAGUUCAGUGAAAAUGUCUAUCAACUGUUAUGCAAGGAAUGCAGCCCUUCUUUUGCAGGUCGUGUUUACCUUGAUAUGUUUGUUUCCUUGAGCAACUCUUGAAGCAUUUCAGGUUUACUGAAGUAACAGAUGUUAUUUACAAUUGAAGAACAGCCAUAGCAAAUGUACGAAUUUGCACCAGAGUUGACUGCCUGCACAAAACAACAUACUCACUUCAUAUUUCAGAGCAAGAGCAUCCUUAAUGAGCUGUUAGUUCGUUAUUAUGAACAGACCUUGAUCAAGAUAGGAAGGAUAUCCGUAGAGAACUGACACAAGAACCCUGGUUCAUCGACAAUUAUUUUUUCUUUAGCAAGUACUAUAUAGGUGUCUUCAACAUCUCUUGCAGCAGAAGGAAUAAGCUGGAUUGCUAAUUUCAGAGCUUCAUUAACCUGGUAGGAUCAAGAAUUAAACUAUCAAAUCACUGGUUGGCAGCUAGUGUGAACUUCAGGGCUGCAUGUUGGUGUAAGAAGAGGGAUCAAGGGAUGUGAUCGGACAAGUUCUACUAUUAUAGUUACUUAUUUAUUGAUCAAUGAAAAUAAUGUUUCGCUUGUUCGGAAGUGGAAAGCAGUGCUUAUAAUACUCCCUCCGGUCCUUUUUAGUCUGCAUAUAAGUUGUGUCUGAAGUCAAAGUAUCUCUACUUUGACCAAACUUAUAGAAAAAAGUAUCAGCAUUCAUAAUGCCAAAUCAAUAUUGUAGAUUCAUUAUGAAACGUAGUUCCGUAGUAUAUAUAUUUGAUAUUAUAGAUAUUGAUAUUUUUUAAAUAAAUUCGGUCAAACUUUGCAAAGUUUGACUUGACACAAAUCUAAUACGCAGAGUAAAAGGACCGGAGGGAGUACAAGUUAAGUCACAAAGAAAUGGAUAGGACAAAUUCACAAUAAUGGUAGCAUAACUUAUAAGAUUACAGCCCAGUUCUUUUGGCUGCUUCUCCUAGAAUCUUGAAACCGUAUUUUUUUGACAAUCCUAGAGGUCCAAUUCUAAAGAUUCUGGGAGAAUCAGACAAAAGAACUGUGCCUACUAGUUCUUUUCUAGUAAAUAUACUGAUCAACUGAGCUUGGUGCAUGUAUUAGUAUUACUACUGGUAACGGCAGCCUCUGCUCAUGUAGGUUAUGGACCACCUGAUGUUGAAUUUACCAAGAAACAGAACUAUAGAAAUAUGGACUGGCAGUAAAGAAGCUAUUAAGCAACCAACCUGGUUAUUUUGGUUUUCCGAAGGCAGGUAUGGCAUCCCAUGGGAGAGAUCUGAACUGACCAAAAUCCCCCUUAUGGUGCUACCAACAUUCAACUCAAAGAGAGACUUCACUGCCACAAGUGAAGUACAGGCUAGCUUAGCAAGAAGCCCGAUCAAGUUCUGCAAUCACAACAAACUACAAUCAACUCCCUCAAAGACAUACUCAUGAUACGCAUAGAAGGUCAAGGGGAAGCAUACACUGCAAGUUGAUGGGUUAAGGGAAGUGAGCCCGCUGGCGUUGAUCAAAGGAAGGACCUUCUCUACCAGGCCCUGGUGGCAGAGCUGGUCAAGAAGCUCCACUGAACCACUAAAAGAGUCUACAAUGCUUAUCAAGCAAGUUGCAACCUUUUCAACAACCUGUGAUAUUAUAUCACCUGAAACAUUAGCAGAGCACUAUGUACAUGCCUAAUACAUGCAAACUCGGUUAAAUUAGUGGGCAACAAUACCAUCUUGUCCUCAGACUGCAGUAGAUUACACAGCAUUGGGAUCGAAUCCAUCACAAACUGGGAGCAAUCUGCUGGGACCUUCUUACAGGCAUUUGCAACAGCCGAGACAGCAACCCUCUGAACCAUCCAAGCAGGCAUCCAAUUAGCGAAUGCAGUAGAUUCUCGGCACCAAAAGAUCGAAUAUCUGCAAUUCUAACCUGAAUACUUGCAGAGAAGAAGUCAAUGUACGCCAGCACGGCAGUUAUCAUGCCUGCCUGCAAGCACUGCGCCGGCUGCCGCAGCGAUAUCUUCUCAAACGCCUGCAAGCACUGCUCAUACAAACAGAAGAAGCGUGAUUGAUCGCGUAAAGCGCUUGGUUCAGUUCAAUGUGAUGGUCUGGCCGGGUUUUCAGGGCUGCUCCGUUACCUGCUCGGCCACAUCAAGGUACUCGAUCGCGAGGAGGCGGGAGCAGAGCACGGGGAGCAGGCCGUGGCGGACGACGGCGUCGGCGGCGCGUGGCAUGGCGUCGCAGAGGUAGGUGAUGGCGCGCACGGCGAGCAGCAUCUCGUCGGGGCUGGCGACCUCAGCGCCGGCCAGGCGCACGAGCGCCCGCGCGGCGGACUCGACGGGGAAGUAGCCCCCAGCGUCCUCGGUGCAGAAGGAGAGCGCCUCGCAGAGCUCCGUGAGCGACGCGAGCAGCGCGCCUCCCCCGGCGCCCUCCGAGGCGACGGCCGCCACCAUCCGGCGGAACUUGCCGCUCCCGGGCCCCCCGUCCCCAUCGGACUCACACGACGACCCGCCAUCCCCGUCCCCGUCCCCAUCGUCUCCGUCCACAUCGGCAUCGGCAUCGGCGUCGGCCUCGGCGGCGUGGCCGGACGACGAGGUGUCCAUGUCGGAGGCGGCCUGCUCCGGCGGCGCUGGCACGGCCGCGGCCACAGCGGCGGCGGCGGAAGUCGAGGGCUCGGCGGUGCAGGGGCGCUUAUCGGCGGGGGGCUCGGCCUCGCCGGAGCCGCCGGGGUCGGAGUCGGGGCGCUUCCGGCAGCGAUCCAUCGGCGCGCGCGCUUACCUCAGGCCCCCGGGCGCGGACGUAAGCCAGCAGCACAGCGGCAGUCCUCGCUCCGUCCCAACAACGAACACGAUCGAUCGGAGAGGGGAAUCGGGGGGGAUAUGAGUUGAGAGACGUGCGGGGUGGGGAGGGGGGGCGGGUUUUAAGUCUGGUUUACCCCUCUCCCCCUCUAUCUCGAUCGAUCGGGUUUAAAAUCCGGGAGAUUUUUAACCGAUUUGGUGCGGUUUCUGGGGGAGAUUCCCCGUGUUUAUCUGGGAGUUCCGCACCGCCAUUGUGUGCGCGGAGGGAGGGCGGGUGGGUGGAGGGCAGUAAUGGAACUGCGCGCCGCGGCCUGGGCUGGGCUUGCGGUUUGGUUUGGUUUGGUUUGGUUUGGGGUUUGCUUUUGGACUUUUGGUGUAGCGUCGUCCAUUGGCGGGGCGAGGCUUACCUGGGAAGGCACUGCCCGUGCGUGCUUUGUUAAUUGCGGAUUACGUGGAGGCCGGAUGGAUAGAUAGGCUCCGGCUCCGAGCGAGGACGGGGUUUCUUCGGAUGCUUUAAUUAGGUCGCUUUAUAUCAUCCCUAGCAGAUCUAGUAAAAGGCUAAAAAAAAUUAAAUUGUUUGUAUUGCUUACCACGUAUGUCACGUGGUGGUAAAAGGCUAAACGGUAAAAGAAUCAUAUUUUACAGUUUUGGACGAAAACAAUUUCAUAUCCCGCAAAACGGCCGGUACUGGAAAAAAAAAAUCCAAGUCCCUAAAACAAACCGCGUGCCCGUGAUAUAUCUAUCUAGUCCCCUAGUUUACCUAGGGUUUUCCAGUCCUCUCGGCGGCCCGCCGCCCUGAGUUCCUCCUGUCAGUAAAGACAACCGAUCGCGCUCCCUUCAAUCCCCAUCGACCUCCUCGCAUCACUAGGACUGCCCCAAGUCCUUGUUUGUGUCUCUGGUUGCUGAGGCUGAAGGUUCCCCUUCAGGUGAUAGAUCAAGACUUUGUGUGAGAUGGCUUUUUCUGCGGAAGGAUCGAGAUCGAAGAGCCUGGUGGAUGAAGAUCCAAGCAAGCUCCUGGAACUGUGCAUUUGCAGGAUGACGAAAUUGACGAACUAAUCUGGGAAGAUGAAGUUGAUACGACCGAGGAGAAGCCGAAGUGGCUAGCCUUGGCGAAACUGCUGACGGAGAAAAGCUUCAGUCAGAGUGCGCUGAUAGGAGACAUGCGAGCGGCAUGGACCCUGCUCAGGAGGUAGUCUGGAGGAGGAUAAAUCCAAACCAGUUCUCAAUUCAGUUCAAUUGUUUGGCGGAUUGGAAUAAGAUGCAUCAAGGACCUUGGGAUCUCAAAGGUUGUGCCCUCUUGUUGAUUGAAUAUGAUGGCUUUACAAAACCUGAGAAAGUGAAGCUAGAUCGACUUGAGACGUGGUGUCAGAUCCGCAAACUCCCUGACGGGGUUCUGAAGAACAAACCUUUCCUUGAAAAUCUUGUGAAACGCAUAGGUGAAGUGCAGGAAGUUCAUAUUACACUUCCUAACGGAUUUGUGGCGAGUUCAUCCGUAUCAGAGUAAAGCUUGAUGUAAACAAGAAACUCACACGAUUUGUUGGAUUCACAGUAAAAGGUGAGAUGGAAUUCUAUCAAGUUCAGUUUGAAAAGCUUCCCGUUUUCUGCCACGCCUGCGGGAAGAUGGGACACUGGCAUGAGGAGUGUGGUACUGGGGAACACAACAAAUCAAAGUUUGAAUGGGGAUCUUUUAUCAUGGCUCCAAGAAGGGGGAGAGGUGGUGGUCGUGGUACUGGUGGUGGCCGUGCUUCCGGUACUAGACGUGGAUACAUGGGUGAAAGAGGAGGUGGACGGUCAGGCAGAGGCAUGGAGGGGAGGUUUGGUGACAGGGCUUGGCGCUGGAACUAUGACCCUGCCAUGAAUCAAUAUGGUCAUGAGGGUAUGGAUCUUGAUGAAACUGGUAAGGAAGGGAACAAGUCGGAUGACGGUAAAGCUAUUGUGGUGUGCAACACGGAAAAUCAAACCUUGCUAAGCAAACGGCAAGCUGAGGAUAGAACAGCAGUGCCCCCAAGUUCUGGAUUACCUAAUGGGGUGGGGUGGUUGCAAACACUGUAGUUCAAUUUGAACCAACACCUUUAGGGAUCUCAGUGUUCAGAAGCAUUCUCGAUAAUUGUAAUCUCUCUGGUGUUGGUUUUGUGGGAGAAAAAUUCACAUGGCAUGGGGGGAUACGUGAGCCGCUUGACCGGGCUCUCUCAAAUGAUCUAUGGAACGAGAAGUUUGGAUCUACGGUUCUACGUAAUCUUGAUUAUAGCAGGUCCGACCACCGUCUUAUACUCAUGAACCUUGAUGAGGGGCUGAUAUGGAUAAUCAUGGACCAUCAGUAUUGCGUUUUGAGGCCAAGUGGUUGAAAGAGGUUUAGUUUAGGCAUGUGGUGGAAGAGGCCUGGGAACAGGCGGGGGCCAGAUUUUCAAAUGCUAGUUUGGCGGGAAAACUUGCAUGGGUACAUGUUUACUUGCAUAAAUGGGAUCGUACAAUUUUGCAAAAAAGAAGAGGAUCAAGUCAGCACAGAAAGAACUAGAACAGGCUAUCAGUGGUACUUUAGAUGACCAAAGUGUCAAGAGGGAGAAGGAACUAGCUGCUGAAAUUGAAUGGUUACUUGAGCAAGAGGAGAUACAUUAUGCACAAAGUAGAGUGGAUUGGUUAAAGUUUGGAGAUAGAAACACUGUUUAUUUCAAGAAUUUUGCCUCUACUAGACGUAAAAGAAAUAUGAUCAAGAAACUGAGAGGGGAUAACGGGGUCAGGUUGGAAGGGAGCACGGCUCUAAACCCACAUAUAUCACAUUAUUUUGAGGGGCUUUUUGCCUCGGAUAUGAAUGGAACCGAUCCUGGCUUACUUAACAAGGUGACCCCGCAAGUGUCAGAUGCUAUGAAUCGCUCAUUAUUGCAGCCAUAUUCGGCUGAAGAGGUGAAAAAAAGCUCUAUUUUCCAUAGGAGACAUGAAAGCUCCGGGUACAGAUGGCUUGCAUGCGAUCUUUUUUUUAAGUGUUGGCAUCUGUUGGGCGACUCGAUGACAGGAGAAGUUUUGGAUGCUAUCAAUAACAAACAAAUCCCUGAAGGUUGGAAUGACAUUGUGAUAGUUCUCAUGCCGAAAGUGGAUGAUCCAGAAUUAAUUACGCAAUAUAGGCCCAUCAGCUUGUGUAACGUGUUGUAUAAGGUAAUAUCCAAAAUGAUCGCUCUACAUCUUAAACAGGUGUUGGAUGAUAUUAUUUCUCGAGUACAGAGUGCCUUUGUUCCUGGAAGACUGAUUACUGAUAACAUAUUGUUGGCCUAUGAAAGUAUCCAUGCUAUUAAAAAUAAGAAGGGGAAAUGGGGUUAUUGUGCGGUAAAGCUGGACAUGCAUAAAGCUUAUGACUGAGUAGAAUUGCAAUUCCUACAGGAUAUGAUGAUUCAAUUAGGUUUUCAUCAAGAGUUUGUGGAGCUUCUAAUGGCGUGUGUACAAUCUAUAAAAUAUAAGGUGAGGUUUAAUAAUCAAGAAACAAACUCUUUCACCCAGAGAGGGGGCUUUGCCAGGGAGAUUCUCUCUCCCCAUACCUGUUUCUGAUUUGUGCUGAGGGCUUAUCUAGUUUGUUGUCUCAUAAAGAGGAGGUUCGUGGCAUAGAAGGUUUCAGGGUUUGCAGAAAUGCACCAUCAGUUUCCCAUUUAUUAUUUGCUGAUGAUUCCCUUGUCCUUAUGAAAGCAGAUAUGAAUAAUGCAACCUCAUUGAGACAGGUACUGGAGCUGUAUUGUGCAAGUUCUGGACAGCUUGUGAGUGAAGCAAAAUGCAGCAUAUAGUUUAGUAAUGUAAGUGUUGAAACAAAGGCCAAUAUAUGUACUGAACUAAAUAUUAUGUCAGAAGCUCUUUCUGACAAGUAUUUAGGAUUACCUGCAAUGGUGGGAGUAGACUGAAGUGACAGUUUUGUUCAUUUACUCGAAAGGAUCAUUGCUAGGCUAAAAAGUUGGAACGAAAAGUUUUUAUCCAUGGGGGGGAGGAAAUUUUGCUAAAAGCAGUCAUGCAAUCUAUUCCUGUCUUCGCUGUGUCUAUUUUCAAUAUCCCCAAGAAAUCAUGUAAGGAGAUGAUUGAUGCAAUGUCUGAAUUUUGGUGGGGUGGCUCUGAGAACACAAAACAUAUGCAUUGGAUGGCUUGGUGGAGGAUGUGCAUUUCCAGGAGGGGUGGAGGUAUGGGGUUUCGUGAUCUACAUUCUUUUAAUCUAACAAUGCUAGCAAAACAGUCAUGGAGACUUAUUUCUACUCCUGAUUCAUUUGUGCACAAGUACUGAAAUCUAAACAUUUCCCAAAUUGUUUAUUACUCAAACUGGCCCAAAGAAGGGGUCCAACUUUACCUGGCAAAGCAUUGUGGCGGGUCCGAACACUUUCCGAAGAGCACAUGCAUGGCGUGUUGGUACGGGUGAGAUGAUUAAUAUUUGGGAGGAUCAUUGGGUGCCAGGUAGUCCUUCUCGUAUGAUACAGACGCCAAAGGGGAAUAUUAUGCUACAGUAUGUAAACGAGCUAAUCAGUCCGGUUAGUGGUCUCUGGGAUGAGGUGUUGUUGAGAGAUAUAUUCUCUCCCAUUGACGUUGACAGAAUUCUUAAGAUUACACUAAGUGAACACGUAGGAGAUGUUGGAAAUAUGCCCUGGAGGCAAUAAUAAAAUGGUUAUUAUUAUAUUUCCUUGUUCAUGAUAAUCGUCUAUUGUUCAUGUUAUAAUUGUGUUAUCCGGAAAUCGUAAUACAUGUGCGAACACAUAGACCAUAACAUGUCCCUAGUGAGCCUCUAGUUGACUAGCUCGUUGAUCAAUAGAUGGUUACGGUUUCCUGACCAUGGACAUUGGAUGUCAUUGAUAACGGGAUCACAUCAUUAGGAGAAUGAUGUGAUGGACAAGACCCAAUCCUAAGCAUAGCACUAGAUCGUGUAGUUCGUUUGCUAAAGCUUUUCUAAUGUCAAGUAUCAUUUCCUUAGACCAUGAGAUCGUGCAACUCCCGGAUACCGUGGGAAUGCUUUGGGUGUACCAAACGUCACAACGUAACUGGGUGGCUAUAAAGGUGCACUACAGGUAUCUCCGAAAUCGGAUCGAGACUGGGAUUUGUCACUCCGUAUGACGGAGAGGUAUCUCUGGGCCCACUCGGUAAUGCAUCAUCAUAAUGAGCUCAAUGUAACUAAGUACUUAGUCACGGAUCAUGCAUUACGGAAUGAGUAAAGUGACUUGCCGGUAACGAGAUUGAACGAGGUAUUGGGAUACCGACGAUCGAAUCUCGGGCAAGUAACGUACCGAUUGACAAAGGGAAUUGUAUACGGGAUUGCUUGAAUCCUCGACAUCGUGGUUCAUCCGAUGAGAUCAUCGUGGAACGUGUGGGAGCCAACAUGGGUAUCCAGAUCCCGCUAUUGGUUAUUGGCUAGAGAGGUGUCUCGGUCAUGUCUGCAUGAUUCCCGAACCCGUAGGGUCUACACACUUAAGGUUCGAUGACGCUAGGGUUAUAAGGAAGGUUUGUAUGUGAUUACCGAAUGUUGUUCGGAGUCCCAGAUGAGAUCCUGGACGUCACGAGGAGUUCCGUAUUGGUCCGGAGGUGAAGAUUUAUAUAUGGGAAGUCAUCAUACGGUCACCGGAAAUAUUCGGAGGUAUACCGGUAUUGUACCGGGACCACCGGAGGGGUUCCGGGAGUCCACCUGCCCCGGAGGGCCCUAUGGGCUAUAGGUGGAAGGGAACCAGCCCCUAAGUGGGCUGGGCGCCAUCCCCCUAGGGCCCAUGCGCCUAGGGUUGGGAGGAACCCUAAAAGGGGGCGCCCCCUUGCUUGGGGGGCAAGCCCCCUCCCCCUUGGCCGUCGCCCCCCCUCUAGAUCUCAUCUAGAGGGGCCGGCCCCCUUCCCCCUUUUCCCUAUAAAUAGAGGGGUGGAGGGAGGGCUGCAGCACCACAUCCAAGGCGCAGCCCCUCCCCUCCCCAACACCUCUCCUCCUCCGCGUGAGCUUGGCGAAGCCCUGCCGGAGAACUGCCACUCCACCACCACCACGCCGUCGUGCUGCUGUUGGAGCCUUCUUCCUCAACCUCUCCCUCCUCCUUGCUGGACCAAGGCGCGGGAGACGUCACCGGGCUGCACGUGUGUUGAACGAGGAGGCGCCGUUGUUCGGCGCUUGGAUCGGAAUCAACCGCGAUCUGAAUCGCUACGAGUACGACUCCCUCAUCUGCGUUCUUGUAACGCUUCCGUCUCGCGAUCUUCAACGGUAUGAAGAUGCACUUCCCUCUCUCUCGUUGCUAGUUACUCCAUAGAUUGAUCUUGGUGAUGCGUAGAAAUUUUUUAAUUUCUGCAACGAUCCCCAACAGGAGAGGAUUUCAUUGCCUGGCAUUAUACAAAAUCCUAUACUUUCUCCGUACGAUUUGCUUACUAUAUUGAAUGGGACCAUUCCCAUCGACAUAGACUAACUCUUGAAGAUGGCUAGAGUACAUCAAGGCGCAACCCUGUGUGGGACAUUUUAUGGAAAUUACAAGUGCCAAACAAAGUUAAAAUCUUUGGGUCGAAGGCUUUAGAUGGCAUGAUUCCAGGUUUUGCUAUUCUUGCUAAUAGGCAUAUUCCAAUUACUGCCCAGUGUCCUGUAUGUGAAAGUGGCCAUGAAGAUAUAAAACAUCUUAUGUUCACUUGUGUUCGUGAAAAAACAGUUUGGAAUUCUUUGGGGUUGCUGCAGUAUAUCAAUGAAGUUGUUCCAGUGGACCGAUCGGGUUCAGUCAUUUUGGAAGAAAUACUUUGACGGCCACAAAAUAAUUCUCUGGUGAUCAAGGGGGGUUUGAAGGAACUAAUCCUAGUGGGGGCAUGGUAUAUCUGGUGGCAAAGAAGGGAGUAUGUUAAGGGUCAACGUGUGGCAGAACCAGCUAGCUCAGCUUUCUCAAUUCAAGCCUUGACAUGUAAUUUUAUGGGAGCACAACUUAACUAUGAACCUCGUGAGAUCGCUUGGUCUAAGCCACCAGGUAAUACAUAUAAACUAAAUGUGGACGCUGCUUUCUCUGAAAAUGGAUAUGGAGGUGCGGGCGCUGUGGUACGCAACGACAGGGGAGAGGCGAACGCGGGUGCAUGAUGGCCGCUGCAGAAUCUUCUUGACGCGGCAAAUGCUGAAGAUACGACUCUCUUGAAAGGAUUAUGUUUAAUUGAGACUCUGGAUUGUGCUCCAGUUAUCAUAGAAUCUGACUCGUUGGAGCUUGUGGAAGCCUUCAAGGGAGUAAUUCAAGUCUGGUCCCCGUAUUUGGCGAUUCUUGCAGAUUGUUUCCAGGUUGCCUACAGGAUUGGCUCAAUUUCAAUUCAACACUGCUCCAGGGAGGCAAAUUUCGUGGCGCAUAAUUUAGCUAAACAUGCUUUUGUUUCUAAUUCUGCCGUUUUUGGGAUGAUGAUCCCCCUAGUUUCAUUAUCCCGGCCGUAAUGAAUGAUGUAUCUUUGUUUGAAUUGCAAUAAAACGCACCAUGAAGGCUUUCCCUGAAAAAACACGCGUCCCAUGAUAUCCAACUUUGGAGUCGAUUUUUAGGGUGAACUGAAAAACCAUGUGAUGGUUGGUGGGAGGGAAAUUUCUGUUGGAAAUAUGCCCUAGAGGCAAUAAUAAAUGGUUAUUAUUAUAUUUCUUUGUUCAUGAUAAUCGUCUAUUGUUCAUGCUAUAAUUGUAUUGUCCGGAAAUCGUAAUACAUGUGUGAAUGCAUAGACCACAACAUGUCCCUAGUAAGCCUCUAGUUGACUAGCUCGUUGAUCAACAGAUAGUCAUGGUUUCUGACUAUGGACAUUGGAUGUCAUUGAUAACGGGAUCACAUCAUUAGGAGAAUGAUGUGAUGGACAAGACCCAAUCCUAAGCAUAGCAUAAAAGAUCGUGUAGUUUCGUUUGCUAGAGCUUUUCCAAUGUCAAGUAUCUUUUCCUUAGACCAUGAGAUUGUGCAACUCCCGGAUACCGUAGGAGUGCUUUGGGUGUGCCAAACGUCACAACGUAACUGGGUGACUAUAAAGGUGCACUACGGGUAUCUCCGAAAGUGUCUGUUGGGUUGGCAUGGAUCGAGACUGGGAUUUGUCACUCCGUGUGACGGAGAGGUAUCUCUGGGCCCACUCGGUAAUGCAUCAUCAUAAUGAGCUCAAUGUGACUAAGGGUUAGUCACGGGAUCAUGCAUUGUGGUACGAGUAAAGAGACUUGCCGGUAACGAGAUUGAACAAGGUAUUGGGAUACCGACGAUCGAAUCUCGGGCAAGUAACAUACCGAUUAACAAAGGGAAUUGCAUACGGGGUUGAUUGAAUCCUCGACACCGUGGUUCAUCCGAUGAGAUCAUCGUGGAACAUGUGGGAGCCAACAUGGGUAUCCAGAUCCCGCUGUUGGUUAUUGACCGGAGAGGCGUCUCGGUCAUGUCUGCUUGUCUCCUGAACCCGUAGGGUCUACACACUUAAGGUUCGGUGACGCUAGGGUUAUAGAGAUAUGUGUAUGCGGAAACCCGAAAGUUGUUCGGAGUCCCGGAUGAGAUCCCAGACGUCACGAGAGGUUCCGGAAUGGUCCGGAGGUGAAGAAUUAUAUAUAGGAAGUCAAGUUUCGGCCAUCGGGAAAGUUUUGGGGGUUACCGGUAUUGUACCGGGACCACCGGAAGGGUCCCGGGGGUCCACCGGGUGGGGCCACCUAUCCCGGAGGGCCCCGUGGGCUGAAGUGGGAAGGGAACCAGCCCCUAGUGGGCUGGGCGCCCCCCCAUGGGCCUCCCCCCAUGCGCCUAGGGUUGGGAACCCUAGGGUGGGGAGGGCUUCCCACUUGCCUUGGGGGGCAAGGCACCCCCUUUCCCCCUUUGGCCGCCGCCCCCCCCCCCCUUGAGAUCCCAUCUCCAGGGCCGGCGCCCCCCCAGGGGGCCUAUAUAAAGGGGGGGAGGGCAGCAACAAGACAGCCUUGGGCGCCUCCCUCCUCCCCUGCUACACCUCUUCGUCUCGCAGAAGCUCGGCGAAGCCCUGCCGAGACCCGCUACAUCCACCACCACGCCGUCGUGCUGCUGGAUCUCCAUCAACCUCUCCUUCCCCCUUGCUGGAUCAAGAAGGAGGAGACGUCGCUGCACCGUACGUGUGUUGAACGCGGAGGUGCCGUCCGUUCGGCACUCGGUCAUCGGUGAUUUGGAUCACGGCGAGUACGACUCCGUCAUCCACGUUCAUUGGAACGCUUCCGCUCGCGAUCUACAAGGGUAUGUAGAUGCACUCCUUUCCCCUCGUUGCUAGUAUACUCCAUAGAUGCAUCUUGGUGAGCGUAGGAAAAUUUUAAAUUAUGCUACGAUUCCCAACAGUGGCAUCAUGAGCCAGGCCUAUGCGUAGUUACUAUGCACGAGUAGAACACAAAGCAGUUGUGGGUGUUGAGUUUGCCAAUUCUUCUUGCCGCUACUAGUCUUUUCUUGUUUCGGCGGUAUUGUAGGAUGAAGCGGCCCGGUCCGACCUUACACGUACGCUUACGUGAGACAGGUUCCACCGAUUGACAUGCACUAGUUGCAUAAGGUGGCUAGCGGGUGUCUGUCUCUCCUACUUUAGUCGGAACGGAUUCGAUGAAAAGGGUCCUUAUGAAGGGUAAAUAGAAAUUGGCAAAUCACAUUGUGGUCAUACGUAGGUAAGAAACGUUCUUGCUAGAAACCUAUAAACCACGUAAAAACUUGCAACAACAAUUAGAGGACGUCUAACUUGUUUUUGCAGCAAGUGCUAUGUGAUGUGAUAUGGCCAGAAGAUGUGAUGAAUGAUAUAUGUGAUGUAUGAGAUUGAUCAUAUUCUUGUAAUAGGAAUCACGACUUGCAUGUCGAUGAGUAUGACAACCGGCAGGAGCCAUAGGAGUUGUCUUUAUUAUUUUACAUGACCUGCGUGUCAUUGAAUAACGCCAUGUAAAUUACUUUACUUUGUUGCUAAACGCGUUAGCCGUAGAAGUAGAAGUAAUCGUUGGCGUGACGACUUCAUGAAGACACAAUGAUGGAGAUCAGGAUGAUGGAGAUCAUGGUGUCAUGCCGGUGACGAAGAUGAUCAUGGUGCCCCGAAGAUGGAGAUCAAAGGAGCAUAAUGAUAUUGGCCAUAUCAUGUCACUAUUUGAUUGCAUGUGAUGUUUAUCAUGUUUUUGCAUCUUAUUUUCUUAGAACGACGGUAGUAAGUAAGAUGAUCCCUUAUAAUAAUUUCAAGAAAGUGUUCACCCUAACUGUGCACCGUUGCGAAGGUUCGUUGUUUCGAAGCACCACGUGAUGAUCGGGUGUGAUAGAUUCUAACGUUCGAAUACAACGGGUGUUGACGAGCCUAGCAUGUACAGACAUGGCCUCGGAACACACGCAAUACACUUAGGUUGACUUGACGAGCCUAGCAUGUACAGACAUGGCCUCGGAACACGGAGGACCGAAAGGUUGAGCAUGAGUCGUAUAGAAGAUACGAUCAACAUGGAGAUGUUCACCGAUCUUGACUAGUCCGUCUCACGUGAUGAUCGGACACGGCCUAGUUAAACUCGGAUCAUGUUUCACUUAGAUGACUAGAGGGAUGUCUAUCUGAGUGGGAGUUCAUUAAAUAAUUUGAUUAGAUGAACUUAAUUAUCAUGAACUUAGUCUAAAAUCUUUACACUAUGUCUUGUAGAUCAAAUGGCCAACGUUGUCCUCAAUUUCAACGCGUUCCUAGAGAAAACCAAGCUAAAAGAUGAUGGCAGCAACUAUACGGACUGGGUCCGGAACCUGAGGAUCAUCCUCAUAGUAGCCAAGAAAGAUUAUGUCCUAGAAGCACCGCUAGGUGAUGCACCAAUCCCACAGAACCAAGACGUUAUGAACGCUUGGCAGCAGCGUGCUGAUGAUUACUCCCUCGUUCAGUGCGGCAUGCUUUACAGCCUAGAACCGGGUCUCCAAAAGCGUUUUGAGAAACAUGGAGCAUAUGAGAUGUUCGAGGAGCUGAAAUUGGUUUUCCAAGCUCAUGCUCGGGUCGAGAGAUAUGAAGUCUCCGACAAGUUCUUCAGCUGUAAAAUGGAGGAGAACAGUUCUGUUAGUGAGCACAUACUCAGAAUGUCUGGGUUGCAUAACUGCUUGUCUCAGCUGGGAGUCAAUCUCCCGGAUGACGCGGUCAUUGACAGAAUCCUCCAGUCGCUUCCACCAAGCUACAAGAGCUUUGUGAUGAACUUCAAUAUGCAGGGGAUGGAAAAAACCAUUCCCGAGGUAUAUUUAAUGCUGAAAUCAGCAGAGGUGGAGAUCAGAAAAGAACAUCAAGUGUUGAUGGUGAAUAAAACCACUAAGUUCAAGAAGGGCAAGGGUAAGAAGAACUUCAAGAAGGACGGCAAGGGAGUUGCCGCGCCCGGUAAGCCAGUUGCCGGGAAGAAGUCAAGGAAUGGACCCAAGCCCGAGACUGAGUGCUUUUAUUGCAAGGGAAGUGGUCACUGGAAGCGGAACUGCCCCAAAUACUUAGCGGACAAGAAGAAGGCCGGCAACACCAAAGGUAUAUGUGAUAUACAUGUAAUUGAUGUGUACCUUACCAGUACUCGUAGUAGCUCCUGGGUAUUUGAUACCGGUGUGGUUGCUCAUAUUUGUAACUCAAAACAGGAACUACGGAAUAGACGGAGACUGGCAAAGGACGAGGUGACGAUGCGCGUCGGGAAUGGUUCCAAGGUCGAUGUGAUCGCCGUCGGCACGCUACCUCUGCAUCUACCCACGGGAUUAGUUUUAAACCUCAAUAAUUGUUAUUUAGUACCAGCUUUGAGCAUGAACAUUGUAUCUGGAUCUCGUUUAAUUCGAGAUGGCUACUCAUUUAAAUCCGAGAAUAAUGGUUGUUCUAUUUAUUUGAGAGAUAUGUUUUAUGGUCAUGCCCCGCUGGUCAAUGGUUUAUUUUUGAUGAAUCUCGAACGUGAUGUUACACAUGUUCAUAGUGUGAAUACCAAAAGAUGUAAAGUUGAUAACGAUAGUCCCACAUACUUGUGGCACUGCCGCCUUGGUCACAUUGGUGUCAAGCGCAUGAAGAAGCUCCAUGCAGAUGGACUUUUGGAGUCUCUUGAUUACGAAUCAUUUGACACGUGCGAACCAUGCCUCAUGGGUAAGAUGACCAAGACUCCGUUCUCCGGAACAAUGGAGCGAGCAACCAACUUAUUGGAAAUCAUACAUACCGAUGUGUGCGGUCCAAUGAGUGUUGAGGCUCGCGGAGGAUAUCGUUAUGUUCUCACUAUCACUGAUGAUUUAAGUAGAUAUGGGUAUGUAUACCUAAUGAAACACAAGUCUGAAACCUUUGAAAAGUUCAAGGAAUUUCAGAGUGAAGUCGAGAAUCAACGUGACAGGAAAAUAAAAUUCUUACGAUCAGAUCGUGGUGGAGAAUAUUUAAGUCACGAAUUUGGUACACACUUAAGGAAAUGUGGAAUAGUUUCACAACUCACGCCGCCUGGAACACCUCAGAGAAAUGGUGUGUCCGAACGUCGUAAUCGCACUCUAUUGGAUAUGGUGCGAUCUAUGAUGUCUCUUACCGAUUUACCGCUCUCAUUUUGGGGUUAUGCUUUAGAGACUGCCGCAUUCACUUUAAAUAGGGCUCCGUCGAAAUCCGUUGAGACGACACCGUAUGAAUUAUGGUUUGGGAAGAAACCUAAGCUGUCGUUUCUAAAAGUUUGGGGAUGCGAUGCUUAUGUCAAGAAACUUCAACCUGAAAAGCUCGAACCCAAAUCGGAAAAAUGCGUCUUCAUAGGAUACCCUAAGGAAACUAUUGGGUACACCUUCUACCUCAGAUCCGAAGGCAAGAUCUUCGUUGCCAAGAAUGGGUCCUUUCUAGAGAAGGAGUUUCUCUCGAAAGAAUUGAGUGGGAGGAAAGUGGAACUUGAUGAGGUGAUAGUCACCCCUUCCGAACCGGAAAGUAGCGCAGCGCGGGAAAAUGUUCCUGUGGUGCCUACACCGACUGGGGAGGAAGUUAAUGAUGAUGAUCAUGAAGCUUCGGAUCAAGUUACUGAACUUCGUAGGUCCACAAGGACACGUUCCGCACCAGAGUGGUACGGCAACCCUGUCCUGGAAAUCAUGUUGUUAGACAACGGUGAACCUUCAAACUAUGAAGAAGCGAUGGCGGGCCCGGAUUCCGACAAAUGGCUAGAAGCCAUGAAAUCCGAGAUAGAAUCCAUGUAUGAAAACAAAGUAUGGACUUUGACUGACUUGCCCGAUGAGCGGCGAGCCAUAGAAAACAAAUGGAUCUUUAAGAAGAAGACGGACGCGGAUGGUAAUGUGAGCAUCUACAAAGCUCGACUUGUCGCUAAGGGUUAUCGACAAGUUCAAGGGGUUGACUACGAUGAGACUUUCUCACCCGUAGCGAAGCUGAAGUCCGUCUGAAUCAUGUUAGCAAUUGCUGCAUACUAUGAUUAUGAGAUAUGGAAGAUGGACGUCAAAACGGCAUUCCUUAACGGCUUCCUUAAGGAAGAGUUGUAUAUGAUGCAGCCGGAAGGUUUUGUCGAUCCUAAGAAUGCUAACAAAGUAUGCAAGCUCCAACGCUCAAUCUAUGGGCUGGUGCAAGCAUCUCGGAGUUGGAACAUUCGCUUUGAUGAGAUGAUCAAAGCGUUUGGGUUUACACAGACUUAUGGAGAAGCCUGUGUUUACAAGAAAGUGAGUGGGAGCUCUGUAGCAUUUCUCAUAUUAUAUGUGGAUGAAAUACUAUGAUGGGAAAUGAUAUAGAAUUCUUGGAAAGUAUAAAGGCCUAUUUGAAUAAGUGUUUUUCAAUGAAGGACCUUGGAGAAGCUGCUUAUAUAUUAGGCAUCAAGAUCUAUAGGGAUAGAUCAAGACGCCUCAUUGGUCUUUCACAGAGUACAUACCUUGACAAGAUAUUGAAGAAGUUCAAUAUGGAUCAGUCCAAGAAGGGGUUCUUGCCUGUAUUGCAAGGUGUGCAGUUGAGCACGGCUCAAUGCCCGACCACGGCAGAAGAUAGAGAAAAGAUGAGUGUGAUCCCCUAUGCCUCGGCCAUAGGGUCUAUUAUGUAUGCCAUGCUGUGUACCAGACCUGAUGUAAACCUUGCCGUAAGUUUGGUAGGAAGGUACCAAAGUAAUCCCGGCAUGGAACACUAGACAGCGGUCAAGAAUAUCCUGAAGUACCUGAAGAGGACUAAGGAUAUGUUUCUCGUUUAUGGAGGUGACGAAGAUCUUGACUAGUCCGUCUCACGUGAUGAUCGGACACGGCCUAGUUAACUCGGAUCAUGUUUCACUUAGAUGACUAGAGGGAUGUCUAUCUGAGUGGGAGUUCAUUGAAUAAUUUGAUUAUAUGAACUUAAUUAUCAUGAACUUAGUCUAAAAUCUUUACAAUAUGUCUUGUAGAUCAAAUGGCCCACGUUGUCCUCAACUUCAACGCGUUCCUAGAGAAAACCAAGCUGAAAGAUGAUGGCAGCAACUAUACGGACUGGGUCCGGAACCUGAGGAUCAUCCUCAUAGCAGCCAAGAAAGAUUAUGUCCUAGAAGCACCGCUAGGUGAAGCACCAAUCCUAGAGAACCAAGACGUUAUGAACGCUUGGCAAUCACGUGCUGAUGAUUACUCCCUCGUUCAGUGCGGCAUGCUUUACAGCUUAGAACCGGGGCUCCAAAAGCGUUUUGAGAAGCAUGGAGCAUAUGAGAUGUUCGAAGAGCUGAAAAUGGUUUUCCAAGCUCAUGCCCGGGUCGAGAGAUAUGAAGUCUCUGACAAGUUCUUCAGCUGUAAAAUGGAGGAGAAUAGUUCUGUUAGUGAGCACAUACUCAGAAUGUCUGGGUUACACAACCGCUUGUCUCAGCUGGGAGUUAAUCUCCCGGAUGACGCGGUCAUUGACAGAAUCCUUCAGUCGCUUCCACCAAGCUACAAGAGCUUUGUGAUGAACUUCAAUAUGCAGGGGAUGGAAAAGACCAUUCCUGAGGUAUAUUCGAUGCUGAAAUCAGCGGAGGUGGAGAUCAGAAAAGAACAUCAAGUGUUGAUGGUGAAUAAAACCACUAAGUUCAAGAAGGGCAAGGGUAAGAAGAACUUCAAGAAGGACGGCAAGGGAGUUGCCGCGCCCGGUAAGCCAGUUACCGGGAAGAAGUCAAAGAAUGGACCCAAGCCUGAGACUGAGUGCUUUUAUUGCAAGGGAAGUGGUCACUGGAAGCGGAACUGCCCCAAAUACUUAGCGGACAAGAAGGCCGGCAACACCAAAGGUAUAUGUGAUAUACAUGUAAUUGAUGUGUACCUUACCAGUACUCGUAGUAGCUCCUGGGUAUUUGAUACCGGUGCGGUUGCUCAUAUUUGUAACUCAAAACAGGAACUGCGGAAUAAGCGGAGACUGGCGAAGGACGAGGUGACGAUGCGCGUCGGGAAUGGUUCCAAGGUCGAUGUGAUCGCCGUCGGCACGCUACCUCUGCAUUUACCUACGGGAUUAGUUUUAAACCUCAAUAAUUGUUAUUUAGUGCCAGCUUUGAGCAUGAACAUUGUAUCUGGAUCUCGUUUAAUUCGAGAUGGCUACUCAUUUAAAUCCGAGAAUAAUGGUUGUUCUAUUUAUAUGAGAGAUAUGUUUUAUGGUCAUGCCCCGCUGGUCAAUGGUUUAUUCUUGAUGAAUCUCGAACGUGAUGUUACACAUAUUCAUAGCGUGAAUACCAAAAGAUGUAAAGUUGAUAACGAUAGUCCCACAUACUUGUGGCACUGCCGCCUUGGUCACAUUGGUGUCAAGCGCAUGAAGAAGCUCCAUGCAGAUGGACUUUUGGAGUCUCUUGAUUACGAAUCAUUUGACACGUGCGAACCAUGCCUCAUGGGUAAGAUGACCAAGACUCCGUUCUCCGGAACAAUGGAGCGAGCAACCAACUUAUUGGAAAUCAUACAUACCGAUGUGUGUGGUCCAAUGAGUGUUGAGGCUCGCGGAGGAUAUCGUUAUGUUCUCACUCUCACUAAUGAUUUAAGUAGAUAUGGGUAUGUCUACCUAAUGAAACACAAGUCUGAAACCUUUGAAAAGUUCAAGGAAUUUCAGAGUGAAGUUGAGAAUCAACGUGACAGGAAAAUAAAAUUCUUACGAUCAGAUCGUGGUGGAGAAUAUUUAAGUCACGAAUUGUAACAUCCCAAAUUUUCAAUUUGGUAUGUUAUACAUAGAUCAUCAUUGCAUAUCAUGUUUUAUUGCAUUUUGACAAAUCCUCGAUAAAUCCUAAGCAACUCAAGGACCCUCGGAGAGAGUUGGGGAUUUUCUCGAAUUUUUAAAUUUGAUUUUCAUCAAAUAUUAAGACGAGGAUUUUGGUUUUAAUUAUUUUCUCUCCGGAAAAAUAUUUCAUCUUAUACAUAAACGAGAGGAGAAAAUAUGACUUCUCCAAAACAAUUGAAAUACUGGAGGAAAAAUGUUAAAAUCAUUUAUUGGAAUUUAUUUGGAUUUUAUUUGCAAUUUUUAUUGCAUUAAAAAUAUUGCAUGUUUUUAAAAUAUUUAUUUUGUGUUAAAAAACUGUUCACCCUAUUCUAGAUUUUCUAACUAGACGGGGAAAAUUUAUUUUAUAUUUUUCUGACUUUUAUUUAUUUUUCUAUGAAUUAUUUUCCGCGGAACGUUUUAAAAAAAACACGCGCGUGCCCGCCGGGCCAAGCCCAGCCGCCAGGCCGCCGGCCCACCCCGCGCCCCUCUCCUCUCCCCGCACGGCCGCCGCCGCCGCCGUGNNNNNNNNNNNNNNNNNNNNNNNNNNNNNNNNNNNNNNNNNNNNNNNNNNNNNNNNNNNNNNNNNNNNNNNNNNNNNNNNNNNNNNNNNNNNNNNNNNNNNNNNNNNNNNNNNNNNNNNNNNNNNNNNNNNNNNNNNNNNNNNNNNNNNNNNNNNNNNNNNNNNNNNNNNNNNNNNNNNNNNNNNNNNNNNNNNNNNNNNNNNNNNNNNNNNNNNNNNNNNNNNNNNNNNNNNNNNNNNNNNNNNNNNNNNNNNNNNNNNNNNNNNNNNNNNNNNNNNNNNNNNNNNNNNNNNNNNNNNNNNNNNNNNNNNNNNNNNNNNNNNNNNNNNNNNNNNNNNNNNNNNNNNNNNNNNNNNNNNNNNNNNNNNNNNNNNNNNNNNNNNNNNNNNNNNNNNNNNNNNNNNNNNNNNNNNNNNNNNNNNNNNNNNNNNNNNNNNNNNNNNNNNNNNNNNNNNNNNNNNNNNNGGAGCCCCGCCGGAGCACUACCCCGACGAGGUACUGCCUCACUGCCCCGUUCGUCGUUGCCGGUUUUUGUUAAAAAAAACCCUUAGUUUUUUAAAAAGAAAAAAAACCUAGAUCGGUUUUUUUUCGGUUUUAUUAUUUUGCGAGCGUUCACCGAACCGUUCGUUUUAACGAACGCGUUCGUCGGUUUUUCUCUGUUAACGAACGUCCGUUCUUUAACCGUUCGUCCGUUUUUCUUUUUCGUCGGAUUUUUCUGCGAUUAUCUCAGAUUCGAUUCCUGAUCGAAUCUUCGUUUCUGUUUAACUUUUCGCUCGUUUAUCGGAAUCAGGCGAUUCAAGCGCCUAGAGUUUCGUCUCGAAAUUCUCUUUCCGUUUAACCUACUCAAACAAGUUUUUGCUACAGUAAAAUUUGACCUAGAUCCAGAUUAGUAAACAAAGUUUCUUUCUUUCGCAGUUUGACUUUCGUUAUUUCUUUCGAGUUGAUUCUUUUUGCAAACCGGAGUUCUUAAGUUGAACUUUCUGGUUGGAUCUUUCAUUCGAGUUUUACCUGUGCAUUAGAUGAGUACUGAUUGUAUGCUUGUUUGUUUGCGAUAGAGUACCCGGAGUGUGCCGCUUGUUACUUCGAAUCGCUAGGUUUUGCGGAUCAUCGGCAAGGCAAGUAACACUUUGAUCAUACCUUUCCAUACCCAGUUUUAUUGCAUUAGAUCUAUUCCUCAAACAUUGCAUGACUAGGAUCUAAUUAAAUUGUGGGUAUUGGGAAGUAGUUGAGGUAGCACCUAUUACCUGUAUUCUUAUCAAACCCUUGGGAGUUACUUCUACGUUGCUUUUAUUAUUGCCAUGCUAUGCUCGUAGACGUGGAUUGGGUUUGAGUGAAAUUCAUGACAGAUGUGAGAUUGUUAACAAUGGUUUACCUAAGGUGGCAACUAAAACUCACAUCUGGGUGGAUUGAGGUACCUGGGUAUUCCAGGAUUGCCUGUUUUUCUUUUGGACCGCCACCCAGGUUCCAAGGGAUCAUAAGAUUAUUCAUGCUAGAAACUUCCGUGUGCAGCCGCAAGCUAUUAUGGGCUCUAGCAUAGUUGAUUAAGUUGUGUGAACUCUUACAGUGGUAGACUAGCAGAUGUAGGGGAAAGUAGGUGUAACUGUCUACCCAUACGUAAAGUGCAAACACUUCUGAAAGACUGUGUCUUGGUCAUCCGUUACUCAAACACCAUGUAGUGCGAGUAAUCCAACGGAGGAGAUCAAGUCUUGUGGGGAAAAGUGCACAAACCUCUGCAGAGUGUACAAACUAAUCAUGGUUAGCCAUGUCCCCGGUUAUGGACAACUUGAGUAUCUAGUACUUGGAUUAUCAUGUGAAUCUCAUCACUAUGUUACUUCUAAUUAAUUUUGUUGGGUUAUUGAUGACAUUUAAUUGGGAUUGAGAUGCUGUCAACCAUCUCAAUGUUUCACAACCACCAUGAUAGUUAAAUAAAAUUUAUUCCUUUGAAGUAGGAUAAAAUUGGCUUUUCGCAAAAAUUGAAACCAUAGAGCUUUCCACCAGCCAUAUAUGCAUGUAGUAUAGCCUUAUUAUUGUUCAUUAUUCUCUAUGUGUUACAUUGCCAGCAUAUUCUAUGUGCUGACCCGUUUACGGGCUGCAACGUUUCAUGUUGCAGACUCUUCAGACGACGAGUAAGGUGCCUUAGGUCGUGGUCUUAUACUCAGUGAUGCCGCUGGAGUUGAUGGACUCACUUAUCUUCCAAGUCUUCCGCUGUUAUCGUUAUUAGAUGGCCUUAAGCCAUGUUUAUCAUACUUAAUAUCUUUGGAGAUAUUCGAUGUAAUAAGUGUGUGAUUGCUACUCUGUUAUAAAUCCUCCAUUUGUACUGUGCGUGUCAGCAUUACUGAUCCAGGGAUGACACUGGUGCACAGCAGCACAGACCAUUUGAGGUCUGGUCGCUACAAAGUUGGUAUCAGAGCACACGCUGACUGUAGGACACGACCACUAAGCUUAAGCCCUAGAAAGCUUCUCUCUUCUCAUUUCUGACCCCUAUCCACUUUCUACUCUUUUAGGAAUGGCGAAUGCAAGGAGCAAGUUCAUGCAACCAGAUGAAGACACGCCGUUUGGUCGACACUUGAAGGAAGUCACCAAGUACUUGAACAUAGGAAUACCAAGCAUCACCGGAACCUACAACGCCACAUUACCUGAAGAGGAGAGCUGGAAGAUUCAAGUUCACAUUCCAGGAAGGACGUUUGUGCCAGUUACUGAACCCAUAAGAUUGGUUUUCGAAGCACCAACCUGGAGUUUAGGGAAGAGCAUGGCCGCACACGUCGCCAUGAGACGCAUUGGAGAAGUCUACCACCAGGAGCUUAAGGAUACAAUUUACCAAAUUUGUGGACGCCGAGACGCGCAAUGGGAGAUGAUCAGAACCAAGAAGGAUGGAUCAAUUGCAGCUUUCAUCCAGGAGGAGAACCAACACAUUCGUCGCCAGGAGAACCAGAUGUGCACGGACAAGGAAGAACUGAAGAAGGCAUUGACGAAGAUCAAGGAGCUGGAGGAAGAACUCAAGGCUACACGCGAGGAUUAUUUGGAAGAAAUCAACGCACUAGUAGGGAAGAAUGACGACCUAGAGAAGAAGAUUGGAAUAUUCAUGGGAAAUCCAGUGCCAAAGGCAGAAGUCGACGAAUGCACUUGUCCGGAUAACUACAUCAUCAUCGACGACACUGACUCGGAACCAAGUGAAUAUGACUGGGUUGACGAAGCUGGAGCAGACAUCAUGGAGUCUUCAACGGAUCAGAAUUUCUAGUAGACCACCAUAUCAGUAGUAGUUUUCCCCCAUUUAAUAGUAUAGUUCAAGCACUUUGUAACGCUAGCUAGAUCGAUUGUUUUGCCUUGUUUGAAUUGAUUGAGUGAUAUUGAUUGAAUUUGUCUCAUGAGCAUAUGGGUAGUGUUUUCUCUCUAGACCUCAUUCUAUUCUUAACUCUCAUCUUUUCUAAACCUAUCAGAUGCCUCCGAGACGCGACACCGGAUUUGUUUUCCCGCCAGAGAUCACCCAGUUGAUUCAGCAACAGAAUGCCCUGAUGCAAGUGUUAGUGCAGAACCAAGGCAACAACAACAACAACAACCCACCGCCACCACCACCUGUUGAUCACUUAGCCCGUUUCUUAAGGCUAAACCCGUCGGUGUUUUCCAGUAGCACCGAGCCGAUUGUAGCAGAUGAUUGGCUCCGCAAAGUUGGAAGGGAGUUGACCACUGCAAGAUGCACAGAUGCGGAAAGAGUGCGUUUUGCCGCACAUCAGCUUGAUGGACCCGCAGCAUCAUGGUGGGAGAAUUAUACAGCCACGCACCCUAUUGACACUGUCACAUGGGACCAGUUUCAGCAAGCUUUCCGUACAGCACAUCUUUCAGCAGGAGCUAUGGCUAUGAAGAAGCGUGAGUUUCGCAGCCUACACCAAGGAGGACGCACCGUAGGCCAGUAUGUGGAGGAUUUCAGUAAGCUAGCACGUUAUGCACCAGAUGACGUUGCUACAGAUGCAGCCAAGCAGGAGAAAUUUUUGGAAGGGCUGAAUGAUGAACUGAGUAUGCAGUUGAUGGUAGCAACCUUCAACAACUACCAGGAGCUGGUAGAUAGAGCUCUCAUGAUUGAAGGGAAGCAACAGCAGAUUGAAAACCGUAAGAGGAAGUAUGGACAAGGGAAGUAUAACUCAGGAGCUCAGCAGAAGCCUCGAUUUACCCCGAAGCCGGGAGGACAGUUUCAGCAUACCCAUGGAGGAGGUAGUUCGCACAACCAUAAUGGCUCUAAAAAUGGUAAUGGGAAUGGAGGAAGCAACGGACAGAACCGCACCAACCCAUCUACCCCAGCCAAGAGGGACCUGAGCCAAGUCACUUGUUUCAAGUGCCAGAAGAAUGGACAUUAUGCCAAUGAAUGUCCUGAAGCCCAAAAUGGAAAUGGCAAUGGAAGCUCUGGGAAGAAGCCGAACCCGUUCAACAAAGGACACGUGAACCACGUGAGCGUGGAGGAGGUUGAAGCUCAGCCUGAUGCAGUAAUAGGUAAGUUCUUGGUUAAGUCAUUUACUGCAACCGUUCUUUUCGAUACUGGUGCAUCGCAUUCAUACAUAUCAAGGGGAUUUGUGAAUAAGUUUAAGAUGUCCACCAAAGUUCUCAGAAACCCUAUGUUAGUAACCUCGCCAGGAGCAGAGUAUAUGGCCACCCAAGGAUGUUUUCAGAUACCAUUGGCCAUUGGUAGGCAUGUUUUCCCCUCAGACCUCAUAGUUUUGGAGUCGCAAGGUUUGGAUGUGAUUUUGGGGAUGGAUUGGCUAUCGUUGUAUGGAGGAAACAUCGAUUGUGCCAGCAAGACGAUUUUGCUUACCACCCCGGAAGGGAAAAGGAUCAAGUAUGUAUCCCGACAUAUGCCGAAGAGGACUCAAGUAAAUUCCUUAUCAGGAGUUGUACAGGAGGAAGUACCAGUGGUGAAGGAUUAUCCGGAUGUAUUUCCAGAAGAGUUGCCAGGCAUGCCACCAGAUAGGGACAUUGAGUUUUUGAUUGAACUUUUGCCAGGCACAGGGCCAAUAUCUAAGAGACCGUACAGGAUGCCCGCAAAAGAUUUGGAGGAAAUUAAGAAGCAGAUCAAGGAGUUACUGGAUAAAGGCUAUAUUCGCCCAAGUUCGUCACCUUGGGGAUCACCAGUACUUCUAGUGGAGAAGAAAGAUGGAUCGCUGAGGAUGGUUGUUGAUUACCGUGGAUUGAAUGAAGUAACCAUCAAAAACAAGUACCCACUGCCGAUGAUCAAUGAUUUGUUUGACCGCCUACAAGGAGCUAAAGUAUUUUCCAAGAUCGAUCUACGAUCAGGAUAUCAUCAGUUAAAGAUUCGAGAGCAGGAUAUACCAAAGACGGCUUUUACCACCAGAUAUGGAUUGUAUGAGUAUACCGUUAUGUCAUUUGGUCUGACUAACGCACCUGCCUAUUUCGAGAGCCGGAAGGUUUUGUCGAUCCUAAGAAUGCUAACAAAGUAUGCAAGCUCCAGCGCUCAAUCUAUGGGCUGGUGCAAGCAUCUCGGAGUUGGAACAUUCGCUUUGAUGAGAUGAUCAAAGCGUUUGGGUUUACACAGACUUAUGGAGAAGCCUGUGUUUACAAGAAAGUGAGUGGGAGCUCUGUAGCAUUUCUCAUAUUAUAUGUGGAUGACAUAUUAUUGAUGGGAAAUGAUAUAGAAUUCUUGGAAAGAGUAAAGGCCUAAUUGAAUAAGUGUUUUUCAAUGAAGGACCUUGGAGAAGCUGCUUAUAUAUUAGGCAUCAAGAUCUAUAGAGUUAGAUCAAGACGCCUCAUUGGUCUUUCACAGAGUACAUACCUUGACAAAAUAUUGAAGAAGUUCAAUAUGGAUCAGUCCAAGAAGGGGUUCUUGCCUGUAUUGCAAGGUGUGCAGUUGAGCAUGGCUCAAUGUCCGACCACGGCAGAAGAUAGAGAAAAGAUGAGUGUCAUCCCCUAUGCCUCGGCCAUAGGGUCUAUUAUGUAUGCCAUGCUGUGUACCAGACCUGAUGUAAACCUUGCCGUAAGUUUGGUAGGAAGGUACCAAAGUAAUCCCGGCAUGGAACACUGGACAGCGGUCAAGAAUAUCCUGAAGUACCUGAAGAGGACUAAGGAUAUGUUUCUCGUUUAUGGAUGUGACGAAGAGCUCGUCGUAAAGGGUUACGUCGACGCUAGCUUCGACACAGAUCUGGAUGACUCGAAGUCACAAACCGGAUACGUGUAUAUUUUGAAUGGAGGAGCAGUAAGCUGGUGCAGUUGCAAGCAAAGCGUCGUGGCGGGAUCUACAUGUGAAGCGGAGUACAUGGCAGCCUCGGAGGCAGCACAGGAAGCAGUCUGGAUGAAGGAGUUCAUUACCGACCUAGGGGUGAUUCCCAAUGCGUCGGGCCCGAUGACUCUCUUCUGUGACAACACUGGAGCUAUUGCCCUUGCGAAGGAGCCCAGGUUUCACAGGAAGACCAGGCAUAUCAAGCGUCGCUUCAACUCCAUUCGUGAAAGUGUUCAAAAUGGAGACAUAGAUAUUUGUAAAGUACAUACGGACCUGAAUGUAGCAGAUCCGUUGACUAAACCUCUCCCUAGAGCAAAACAUGAUCAACACCAGGACGCAAUGGGUGUUCGAUUCAUCACAAUGUAACUAGAUUAUUGACUCUAGUGCAAGUGGGAGACUGUUGGAAAUAUGCCCUAGAGGCAAUAAUAAAUGGUUAUUAUUAUAUUUCUUUGUUCAUGAUAAUCGUCUAUUGAUCAUGCUAUAAUUGUAUUGUCCGGUAAUCAUAAUACAUGUGUGAAUGCAUAGACCACAACGUGUCCCUAGUAAGCCUCUAGUUGACUAGCUCGUUGAUCAAUAGAUAGUCAUGGUUCCUGACUAUGGACAUUGGAUGUCAUUGAUAACAGGAUCACAUCAUUAGGAGAAUGAUGUGAUGGACAAGACCCAAUCCUAAGCAUAGCAUAAAAGAUCGUGUAGUUUCGUUUGCUAGAGCUUUUCCAAUGUCAAGUAUCUUUUCCUUAGACCAUGAGAUCGUGCAACUCCCGGAUACCGUAGGAGUGCUUUGGGUGUGCCAAACGUCACAACGUAACUGGGUGACUAUAAAGGUGCACUACGGGUAUCUCCGAAAGUGUUUGUUGGGUUGGCAUGGAUCGAGACUGGGAUUUGUCACUCCGUGUGACGGAGAGGUAUCUCUGGGCCCACUCGGUAAUGCAUCAUCAUAAUGAGCUCAAUGUGACUAAGGGUUAGUCACGGGAUCAUGCAUUGCGGUACGAGUAAAGAGACUUGCCGGUAACGAGAUUGAACAAGGUAUUGGGAUACCGACGAUCGAAUCUCGGGCAAGUAACAUACCGAUUAACAAAGGGAAUUGCAUACGGGAUUGAUUGAAUCCUCGACACCGUGGUUCAUCCGAUGAGAUCAUCGUGGAACAUGUGGGAGCCAACAUGGGUAUCCAGAUCCCGCUGUUGGUUAUUGACCGGAGAGGCGUCUCGGUCAUGUCAGCUUGUCUCCCGAACCCGUAGGGUCUACACACUUAAGGUUCGGUGACGCUAGGGUUGUAGAGAUAUGUGUAUGCGGAAACCCGAAAGUUGUUCGGAGUCCCGGAUGAGAUCCCGGACGUCACGAGAGGUUCCGGAAUGGUCCGGAGGUGAAGAAUUAUAUAUAGGAAGUCAAGUUUCGGCCACCGGGAAAGUUUCGGGGGUUACCGGUAUUGUACCGGGACCACCGGAAGGGUCCCCGGGGUCCACCGGGUGGGGCCACCUAUCCCGGAGGGCCCCGUGGGCUGAAGUGGGAAGGGAACCAGCCCCUAGUGGGCUGGGCGCCCCCCAUGGGCCUCCCCCCAUGCGCCUAGGGUUGGGAACCCUAGGGUGGGGGGGCUUCCCACUUGCCUUGGGGGGCAAGGCACCCCCUUUCCCCCUUUGGCCGCCGCCCCCCCUUGAGAUCCCAUCUCCAGGGCCGGCGCCCCCCCAGGGGGCCUAUAUAAAGGGGGGGAGGGCAGCAACAAGACAGCCUUGGGCGCCUCCCUCCUCCCCUGCUACACCUCUCCGUCUCGCAGAAGCUCGGCGAAGCCCUGCCGAGACCCGCUACAUCCACCACCACGCCGUCGUGCUGCUGGAUCUCCAUCAACCUCUCCUUCCCCCUUGCUGGAUCAAGAGGAGACGUCGCUGCACCGUACGUGUGUUGAACACGGAGGUGCCGUCCGUUCGGCACUCGGUCAUCGGUGAUUUGGAUCACGGCGAGUACGACUCCGUCAUCCACGUUCAUUGGAACGCUUCCGCUCGCGAUCUACAAGGGUAUGUAGAUGCACUCCUUUCCCCUCGUUGCUAGCAUACUCCAUAGAUGCAUCUUGGUGAGCGUAGGAAAAUUUUAAAUUAUGCUACGAUUCCCAACAAUUUCAGCCCAACCGACGAUGGACUCGUCGGAGCCCGACAAUUUUUUACCAAGGUGCUCCAAUUCUGCUCAAAUCCCCUCCAAUUUUCGGCGACCAACCCCGAUUCCGACCGAUUUUGAUCAAUUCCUACGUAGGCUACCGAGCGGGGCAUGGGGCGAGCAGCCAAACGGGUCCGCAUGCGCGCGUGAACAGGGGAGAGGGGUGGGGCCGCGGGCGUGCGUGAACAGGGGAGAAGGGUGGAGCCGCCGACGCGCGUGAACAGAGGAGAGGGGUGGGGCCGCGGGCGCACGUGAACACGGGAGAGGGGUGGGUCGCCGGCGUGCGUGAACAGAGAAGAUGGGUGGGGCCGUGGGCGCGCAUGAACAAGGGAGAGGGGUGGGGCCGUGGGCGCGCAUGAACAAGGGAGAGGGGUGGGGCCGCGGUGCACGCUGGGGGUUAGCCGGCCGGGGCGCCCGCCCACGAGCCGCGCGCGAGAAGGAAAGCGGGUCGGGGUUGUGGGCAGGAGCUCGAAGGCGGCUGGCCGCGGUGCGGACAUCCACUAGAUCAAGAUCGGGUACAUGGUGACCUUCAAGUUGGUGACUCCCACGCCGUGAAGGUGAUCGUCUUCAACAACGACGGCAUUAAAGUGAUGACCAAGUUGCAGGAGGCACGACGACGCAUUCAUCGUGAACGUUUAUGAGAGCUCUAUAUUGCGCAUGCUGGUUUGGUUACGACUGUGUCAUAAUGGUUCGGUUGAAAACUACUUAAUUUAAGUGUCGUACUAUGUUUGAAAACUGUUUGAAUUGAUUUAAAACUAUGUUUAUAUGAUAUUUGUUUGUGUGUCAUUGGUUUGUUCCGCAUGCCUAGUGUAUUGAUAACCUCACCACCUUCACGAGGAAGUUACCAAACAACAUGCCCUGCAUGUAAUCAAACACCAUGACUUGUGUUUUCGCCUAAACAAGUGGGCAACCAAACAACCUACCUUUCGUUUCGUCCCACGCAGGCUAGAAGGUAUGCAGUCAACCAAACAAUAUACAGAUGUUAAUAUUUUUGCAUGUUUACUUUCAAUUGAGACAUAGAUGCAAUGCAAGCAAAAGUAGAUACGGCAAACAAACACACCCAUGGUGCCUAUCAUGUUUUCCAAAAAACGCACCUCCGAAGGUGGGAUUUUUUUUAACAGAAAUCCUCCGCUACAUUUUAUUUUAUUUUUCCCUGAAAAAAAAGAAGCGGAGGAUUUCUGCCACGAUACUAUCCGCACUGUGCGCGGAGCAUCUCUUCCCCGUAGGCACACACACGGCCGUCCCUGGACCCACCUGUCUUCCACGGACAUCGACUCACCCAUCUCCGAACCGCCCCCCCUCUGUCGCCACACCCCCGUCCCCACGCCCGCGGCGCAAAACCCCGCUAAAUUUUUCGCUCCGCCCGCCCCCAAGUCUCGCCACCGCCGCCAUCCUCCAAAUCGUCGGAGAAGAUAAUCCCCAGGACCCCCUUAGGGAUGUACGCCGACAUCCAGAAGGGUCGGCCGGGCUGCCGCCCCGUCGACGCCGCCUCCAUGGCGAAGCUCAUGAAGGUCUGGGCGAGGUACUUCCCCGAGGAAACCGAGCUCCAGGUCCCGGCGGACGACCCCAGGGCCAGGCUCGUCGGCGACCUGGUUAAGGUCCUGGAGCUGGAGGAGAGGGCCAAGCUCCUCCCACGUGUAAGCAUCUGUCUCCAUUCCCCGUAUAGCGCCUCAUUUUUGGCCCAUCUCUUAUGGUGACGCGAUUCUAGGGUUGCUUACUCGGUUCGGCCGCGACGAAAUUAUGGCGGUUGCUGCGCGACUGGUUGGUGCCUAGGGUUUAUCGGAUUGGCUGAUUGAUCGUUAGUUGAAAUUUUCUGGGAGUGGCAGCUGACAUUGUAACUGUAUAUAGUUAAAAUGCUUGCAGUCUCGUGCCUAAUGUCUGUUUGGUUCCAAUUAUUUAAGUUCCUGAGCUUGCCAUUGCUAGACAUUUAAUUGGGUACCAUUGUUAGUAAAAUGUGUGUUGGUUCCUUGCUGUUAGGGCAGAAUUUGGGUAAUAAUUUACUUAUCUGAUCGAAUCGACCUCGAAAUUUGGGGCAGAAUUUGUUUCUACAAUCUUCAAGAUCAAGGUCUCAAUGCGAUGGUGGCUCCUGGUAUAUGAAGUAGUGACAUAUCUAAUCAGAAAAGGGGAAUACUCUUCUUUAUUAGGAGGGAAAAGAAUCAAGAGGAGCUUGUAAUUUUGUGAAUAACUUUGAUACUUUUGUGCUCCACUUUGUCAGUAUCAUAAGAUUACUUAUACGUUUAUACCCCAAUGUGCUGCUGCGAUAACUACCUAAAGCACGACGCAAUGUUCCAAUUGAAAAAUGAAAUCAUGGCAUCAUGUAGUUGCACAAUAAAUUACUAAUCGGGUGGAAAUGAUUUAAACACAUCGCUUCAUAGUGUGCUUUUGUCAUUACAUGGAAAAAUAUUUCCGGUUCCAGCAAAUGAACGAAUUCAUGUUAUUAUAACUUAUGACUACAUUCACAGGUUGAAGAUGAUGGUGUUGUCUUCUUCCUUCCGAUUGAUUUCCAGCAGCUUAAGAACUUGUGCGGUGGUACCAACCUCUUAGAUGCUCUCAGGGAAAAUCCUAAAGAAGCCUUGCUUUGCAUGGGAGUUGCAGUUCAUCUGGUUGAUGCUUCAUUUCAUGCUAAAAUUAUUAGUGUUGUCAGUUGUGCUUUGUUUUUUCACUCGCUGGACUUUGAUUCUUGAUGUUUUCUUCAGGUUAAGUGCUCGGGCAAUGGCCUCCAGUUGAGCGACGUAGACAAGGUCAAUAUCAGGCUUUACAACCACACCGAGACAAUAAUUGCUUUGAAGAAUUUGAAAGCGGCCUAUAUUAGUAAGAACUUCUGUCUUUAUCCGUGUGUUCUGCAUCUAAAUGAAGUACUGACUUGUUGAUUCACCUCAUAGAGAAACUAGUGACAGUGCGUGGUACUGUUGUAAAAGUCAGUACUGUGAAACCUCUAGUUCUGGCGCUGGAGUUCAAAUGCAUGAAGUGUGCUACAGUCAUCCGUCGUGUGUUCUCUGACGGGAAAUUUUCACCUCCAGUAUCCUGCAUAAUUCAGGGCUGCAAGGGCAGAACCUUCACCCCAUUGAGAUCUACUGCCAAGUUGAUAGAUUUUCAGAAAAUAAGGCAAGUGAUAAAUAGAUAAUCUGUGUCAUUCUCUGCUUAUAACACUAAGCUCUGUUUUUAUUAUUUUCAAUCCAGGAUACAGGAGCUUUCUAGUGCUGAAAACCGUGAAGAAGGCCGAGUGCCACGAACUAUAGAAUGUGAGCUUAUAGAAGAUCUUGUAGAUUGUUGCAUCCCUGGAGAGGUUGUAACGGUAGCUGGAAUCGUCAAAGUGCUGAACAACCAUAUGGAUGUUGGAGGAGGUACAAUUUUGAAGAAACUAGUAUCUUAUUUCUCGUUGUUCAUUUCUGAACCUUCCUGGAUACUAUAUUUUACAUUGUUUCAAAGCCUGAAUCCUCUUUGCAAAAAAAAUAAAAAUGCUAAUGUUCAGGUGUCCCAAAUUUCCUGCAACACCUGUAGAGCACAUAUGUUUUCAGUCUUUUGUUAAGGUUGUUCAGUAGUUUGGGUUGGUUGUCUAGUUCUGGUGCAUUAUGGACUACUAGGUGUAACCGUAUCAGGUAGUUCACAAGAACAAUUAUCAAGUUCCAUGUUACUCUUAGGGAAAACCUAUCUCCUGCUACGUUUGUUAUCCCUAAAACCUCUCCUCAUUUUAUCUUUACCUUAACCAAAACAUUCACUCUUUUUUAGACAUUGUUGCUUUCUAUGAUUUCCUUUAAUAUAAGACUCAAGAAUUGUUUGUAGAACAAUGAUGAUAGCCAAAAGGUUACUAUGUGUGGCGUCCAUGUCCUUGCCACAUGCAAUAGUCGUGAUGAUUUCUCUGUCAUGCACGGUAUCCCAUACAAAAGGCCAUGCACGCCACACAAAGCAGGAAAGUGUCGGAUCAACAGACCAUGUCAGCAAUGAGACGUGUCCAGGAGGGAUAUGUCGGGACAGACUCGGUGCUCCUGGAGGCAGCAUCCACUGCCACUGUCUUGCCGCAGCCAAAAGUUGUGGGUGAGGGGAGGACAAGUUCAAUCCCCAUGCCUCCUCAGUGCCAUCAAGGGUUAGACUGUUAGAGCAGAUUAUAGGUGGUAGGUGCAACAUAUCGGCUGGAUGGGAGAUACAAAGAGUGAGAGAUAGAGGUGAAUUGCGUCUUCAUUGAUUUAAUAUAUUACUCCCUCCGUUCCAAAUUACUCGUCGCAGAAAUGGAUGUAUCUAGAACUAAAAUACAUCUAGAUACAUCCAUACAUGCGACAAGUAAUUCGGAACGGAGGGAGUACAUUACAGUUCCUUUAUGUAGUCUCUACUGGCGUAUCUGUGUAUGACCUUAUACCUAAUAAUCCUAAGUUCCUAACUGACCACAACUCAUAUUUGAAUCUAGUUGCACUGUCCUGGACUGGUCUCGAGAUCAAUGAUACCAAUGGCAUUGAUCCGGGUGGACUAAUUGAAUGCACUGGAGCCCGAGUCAUAGACAGCCAGUAAUAGGUUUGGGUAGUUGCGGGAGCUGCAGCGUUGGCACAACUGGCCUGUAUUCUAGGCCCAGCUGAAUUGGGUUCAGCUGCUGCCCGUCUGGUGGUUAUACACCCCACAACUGAUCCCAUGAUCAUAUCCUGAUCUCUUGUGUAGUUCUUUCUGGUUCUACCAUGCAAACACAAUCAGUGAAGUUCAUAUUAGUCUGAUGCCGGUGCAUUCUUUUUCCAAAACAUUCUUGUUUGUACUAUGUAGAUGCAUAUUUUCUUAAAUUGUCCUGUGGAUAUAUACAUAUAUUUUUAAUAUCUUCAGGUAAGUCCAAAAGCAGAAAUCAGGGUUUAUACUACUUGUACUUGGAAGCAAUCUCAGUAAGGAACUCCAAGGCCCAUGUUGUUUCAGAAAAUUCAGAUGCAAGUUCUACUGAUAUUCUGGCUACUGGAUCCUUCAGUUUCGAAACUUUUACUGAUAAGGAUCUUAAAUUCAUCACCGAAUAUAAUAGCGAGCAUGGUGCUGAUGUAUUUCGUCAAAUACUUCACUCCUUUUGCCCCUCCAUCUAUGGGCAUGAACUUGUAAAGGGUAAUUUUCUAUUCUAGUACACUGUUUUAAAUCCUAAUGUGGUAUUUUCUUGCAGUAAUUUAAUUAGAAGGUAUUUGCGCUGGCUAUUUAAUGUGAUUAAAUAUUUACAUUUUGUCUGCUCAGUGUUGUCCAAACAUUUGGAAAUAAAUCAAUCUGUUGUGCUCUCUUUAGUUUCUGUAUAUAAGAAAUGAUAACUAUUAUUUUAGCUUCAUUACUUGUGGACAUGUGCAGCGUUUUCAGUAACGAUUAUUUGAUUAUUCAUUAUUUCACGGUAAGUACUCUUGUGCCGUCUCCAAAAAAACCAAUUCAGCUGUGAGGAAUUGAUCAAGCUAUUAGUGCAGAGUUCAGUAAGGGGAUAUGUUCUCUUUCUUUUCAAGAGCCAGCGUUCUAAAGAAUGAAGGAAAGAAAAGAGUGCAAACUGUAUUUUUGAACGUAAAAAUAUUAAAUUAUCAAAAGUUCGACGAGUAGAAUAAAGACAUGCCUUAUUUUCUAAGAGAGCAAACAUCAAGAAUGAAUGUUUGUCCAUCUCCAGUUCUUCUUAUGAUCAAUACCUGCAUCUUCAUUAGUACAUGACGACCUAGCUACCGCUUGCUGACUUAAAUCUUGGUGGGAAGGCGGUGCCUAAUGCUUAGGCAGCCGUCUAGUCCAAUUUUAGAACACUGUCGAUAGUGCAGAGUUCUCAUUUCAGCGCAGUAGCAUUUGCUUGGAUGCCGCUUCUUCUGAUUCGUUUUGUUUCUUUGUUGCAUUAUAUUACUGGACAUGACUAAAUUAAUGUUUCUAAAUUUCAGCUGGUAUCACUCUUGCGCUUUUUGGUGCUGUGCAGAAGCAUUCAAUGGAUCAGAACAAAGUCCCAAUUAGAGGAGACAUCCAUGUUAUUAUUGUUGGUAAUCCUUAUAAUUUACCAAUCAUGAUCCAUGUAGUACAUGCUUAGCACUUCCCAGGAUGCAAUCAUACUCUUGCUUAAUGUUGUCGCAGGCGAUCCAGGACUAGGCAAGAGCCAAUUACUAAAAGCUGCAGCAUCUGUUUCCCCACGGGGAAUAUAUGUAUGCGGGAAUACAACCACAAAUGCUGGUCUAACAGUUGCUGUGGUUAAAGAUUCAAUGACAAAUGAUUAUGCAUUUGAGGCUGGUAAGCAUGGAAGAUUUAUUUGUUCCUCACACAUUCUGUGGAGAACCUUGUCAGAAAGUCAGCUAAUUCGAUCAUUUGUUGUCAUAUAAUUGGUUGUUCUACUGUUUUGUGGCCGAUGUGGUUUGAAGUCUUAGAAUUUGUGAUUGGAUCAAAAUAAUGUUAAGCUCUUGGCUUUACAGGGGCCAUGGUUCUUGCUGACCGUGGGCUAUGUUGCAUUGAUGAGUUUGACAAAAUGUCAGCAGAGUAUCAGGUAUUAUUUUUAGUUUUCACCUGAUACAACCUUCUUGGUGAAAUGUUCAUUCAGUAAAAGAUGUUCUAUACUUUCCUUGUUUGAAAUUGAAUUUGUGUUCUCAGUCCUUACUGGAAGCCAUGGAGCAGCAGUGUGUAUCUGUGGCAAAGGCUGGCCUUGUGGCGAGUUUAUCUGCCCGCACUUCUGUGCUGGCAGCUGCUAAUCCUGUUGGUGGUCAUUACGAGUGGGUUAAUCUUUUCCAUCCUUUGAUAAAAUUUUCUACCCCUGCUUAUCGUAUGAUGUUUGUCAUUCUGGAUAUGUUGUCUUCAUUCAUCUUUCCUUCUUCAAUUGAUACUCAUUACCUGUACUGUUAUCUCUGUGCGUAUGCGCGCGAUGUGCAAUUACUACAGUGUGAUUGUUUUUGUCAACGUAAUGUUCUUUUUGCACUCACACAACCACACAAGUCACCGUGCCUGGAACAGGCAGACCUGUAAGCAAAUACCAUUUCCUUGUGUAUUCUGGUGUUGUUCCUUAUUUUUGCUUGUCAGUGAGAUGUAGGUAACAGAUCUUAAAUUCCUGGGUUGUUUUCAACUUUUAGUAAUACUAUUUUUGCAGCCGAGGCAAAACAGUGAAUGAGAAUUUAAAGAUGAAUGCUGCCCUGCUCUCUCGGUUUGACCUGGUUUUCAUUUUACUUGACCAGCCAGACUUGUUUCUAGAUAAGAGAGUAUCAGACCACAUAAUGGCAGUAAGUUUUUGUUAUCCAUUUUUUGUCCACAUCUUAAGCAUAUAGUACCGAUGAGCAAUAUCACCACAUAUAAUAAAUGUGUCAGGGCUUUAAUCUAAUUAAAAAAACUAAGGAAAAAACAACAUUUUCUACACGCAGCUCCAUACCAAUGACAGAAGUCCUUGCUCAUCCAACAAGAGGCUAAGAACAGGUCAUUCUUUGGUUAUUCCAUAGCAUUUUUAGUUCCUUUUUACAUGUGAAACCGUAUACAUCGUUAUUGAUUUGCAACUUUGCCCCAUGCCCAGUGCCUCAAUUUAAUGGCAGUAUGGGGAUUGGAAUUGAUGAGAAAAAAUUAGCUUCAAGGCUGAGACUACACCCUGAGAAAGAUAGGGACUUUGUUCCGUUACCUGAACCACUUCUUCGCAAGUAUAUAUCUUACGCGAGAAGCUAUGUUACCCCCCGGUAUUUUGUCAGCUCCUUUUCACUUAUCAAUACCAUAUAUGUAAUGCAAUGAGUUCUCAUUUUGUUAUUUUUCUUCUCUCGGCUCAAGUGUGUCAGAACCAGCAGCGGUGGUACUGCGAAAAUAUUACUUGAAUUUGAGAGCGCAUAGUACUUGUUCUGAUGGCACACCCAUCACAGCGAGACAAUUGGAAAGCCUUGUGAGGUUAGCAGAAGCUCGCGCUCGGGUGGAUCUAAGAGAAGAAGUGACUGAACAAGAUGCGAAUGUAAAUAAGUAGAAUACUUACCCCCCGGUUCCCUCCUCCCCAUUUUGUACAUAUGCGCACCUUGCACCCUUGCACUGCCAGCUUGGAUUUCUUCAUACUUCAUACCUAAAUUACCAGCAGAGAAUUUUUCUGUUGGUUUAGGUUCUUGUCCAUGAUUGCUGGGAAAAUCUGAGUUCUUUCUCAUGCUAGUUUUCAUCCUCAGCAAAUUACUGAAUCAAACUCAGAAGCAUGAUGAAUUAUGUUUUUUAAUCUCCAUAUCAUGUCGAUGUUGCAGAUUUAUUUUUUCUGUCUGUUUGCUGCUUUAUAAAUCUGAAAAUGUGAACGUACGGUGCUUAUCGCAUGCCUAAGGCUUAUGCAAAGUGUUGUCUGGCAAAUAGACAGCCGGAUAGUUAGAUGACAUCAAGAGGCACACCUAUUUAAUAAAAAAUGGGCAUGCAAUCUCAUUCUGCGUUUUAUUAUGUUGCAGGAUGUUGUUGAGAUCAUGAAUGAAUCCUUAUAUGACAAAUAUGUUGAUGAGCAUGGUUGUGUGGACUAUGCUCGGAGUGGUGGGAUGAGCCAACAAAAGGAGGCAAAAAGACUUAUGAGUGCCUUAAACAAGCAAUCUGAGUUGCAGCAAAAGGAUCAGUUUUCAAGAGCCGUAAGCAAUUAUGCAUCUAAAAUAUUUUUGAUGAAAGGCUGGUCUGUUAUUGCAUAUACGCAAACCAACUGACAUGGAAAGAGUGCCAAUUUUAGUUCAGUUACAAUUCUGGUCCUGCUAUGAUCGACGAAAUUUUGACAUACUUGCUUUUUGUGCAUUUUGAUUCUUUUGUUACGCGGUUUCUCCAGUCAAUAGGAGCAUCUUCUUGAGGUUCCUCUGAUGUUCUGUAAUUUUCCCUUUGUAGGAGAUACGGAGCUUAGCAGAUAAAAUCAGCUUGCAAGUCCCGGAUUUAGAUGAUAUUAUGGAAAGAUUGAACAGUGCCGGUUUUAUUGUACAUAAAGGACAAAACAUAUACCAGGUAUUGUCUCAUAAAACUGCUUGACAUCAAGAAGUUUUGAUGUAUACAUUAGAUGGUUAUCCUGGUGUCGUGCUGAUUAUUGAUUAUGAGUUUAUGACUGUCAGGCUCGUGAUGAGCCCUCCACUGAGAAUCUAACUUAUUAUUGUCUGUGAAACAGAUAUUGACCUCAUCAUGUUCACGGACCCAGCCAACAAGGUCAAGAUGGUGAGUUCUCUUACACCCUACAUGAAAACAUGGGAGUUUGGUGUUGGUAUUAUGCUAAAUUUUAUAUCUGUGCCACACGUUAACGUCUGGUUGAUUAACAGUUACUUUGGGUCAGUGUCCAACACUUGCCAUUGUUGUGACAAGAUAACUGUUCAAAGGUUUCCUCUUUGCUGCCGAUUCAUGAUCGUUUUUUUUCUGGCAGAUGUAGGGGGGAUAUGUUCUGCAACUAGUAUGGACCGUUAUGUACAGUAUAGUCAUGUGAUGGCCUCUAAUUAAAAUGUGCGGAUAGCUCUGUUAAUGCUGUUUAUCGUAGCAGCUGUAGCUGAUAAUGACAAAAUUAGUAUCCUUACUAGUUCCAGCAUGUUAAAGAAACAUCCUGUUUUCGUUAAAGAAUCGUCUAUGUCCUGGACAUUGGUGAUCAUGAAUGCUGAUUCUUUAUGUGAAAGAAACAUAGUGUGUUUUUUUGCGGGGAAGAAACUUAAUGCUUCUAUGAGACUUGGAAUGGAAAUAACCCCUUAGGCCUGAGAAAUAGCAAACCCGCUUUGCUUACGGUUAUGUUUUUAUUUGGACGAACGCAGCAAUGCUGCUUCAUUUUAUAUUAAGAGAAAGAGUUACAACAAGUAAUUGGGCGGUGAUGAAGGUGACCACCAAGGUAGACAAAUGGAGGGCACAGAUAACAAGUUUCAUAGAAUCAUAGUACCAUCAAGGAGGCCUCCAUGUUAGCCUCCUUGGUGGUGUCACCACUCUUCUACAUUUUGCUCUACGGGAAUGUGGAACGCUGGUGUUUUAUCCUACGUCUGUGCUCUACGCUUACCAGUCGAAUUGUUUUGUGUGCUAUCCAUUUUUACAGAGAAAGCAGCCUUUAGAUUGCUCAAUCAAUAGGUCUUUUUCAAGCAUAGGCAAAAGGUAAUUUUAGGGGUCAUGGAGCCAUAUAUAUCUAUAAAUGAUAAUGAUGUUGUGCCCGCCCUGUUAGAUUCUCUCGGGUAGUGAACAAAGGUUGCUUUUCACAAACUCAGUCGCCUAGACUCAACGAUCAGUCUUGCUAUCAUAGUUGAAGCCUACCCGGUUACACCCCAUUUGCAGCGCCAUGGCUGACCUCAACAUCCUUUUUUUUUCUUGAGGUGAUUGCCUCACAUCUUGGGCAUGAACCAUGAGAGGUUCACCUGGGGUCGAUCGAUCUCGCUCACGCCGUUUGCUACCAGGUUUCUUCGCAACAGCUGUUUUGAAGUUGGCAGCCAGGACCAUGAGCAACGUAAACACGCAAUUGGAUCGAUGGGAGCUUGGAACUUCUCCCCAUUAAUGUGCCGCCAGCGUCUUCCACCGUUUUAUGAAAUGUACUACCCGCUGCUCCUAAAUACAGUACAAGUCUUUUUAAUGAUUUUAAUAUGAACUACAUAUGGAGCAAAAUAAGUGAAUCUACACUCUAAAAUAUGUCUAUAUACAUCUGUAUGUAAUCCUUAUUGAAAUUGAAAUCUCUAAAAAGACAUAUUUUUUUAAGGACGGAGGGAGUACUACGGAGUGUGUAAGUAGUUCCAGUGAUACUUUUCCUGCCCUAUCUGCCGCCAAUGCUUCACUUGUUCCGUGUUGGAAUGGGGCAUAUCUUUCGUUGCCCAUUAGUAUAGACGCCAAUGAGCAAUCAAACUAGUUUCCUCAUCGUAUCCUCUUGGGUUGUGCAGAGUUUGCAGUGAAAAACAUAAUCAGCUGUUAUUUGCAUAACUCUUCCAGUGUGAAUUACUACUACAAUCAGCAAAACUGCAUCCAUGUCAUUAUGGAUUUUGCACACAAAAAAACAUGAUACAGAAGCAUUGCAGAGGGCAGAUAAAACUUGCUAUCCAAAUCAUGGAAACAAAACUCAAUAGCGACAGACAGUCAACAGCAUCUCGCUAGUACAACUUCAGGUUACGUAUAUAGGAAUGAAAAUGCUAAAUGGUGGACGAGCUCCAUGGAGCUCGUUUUUUUGAAAAAAAAAACCCCGGAAAUUAUAGCUCCCAAGUUUCAAAAAAUCCUAAAAAGAUCACACGCGUUCAUACAGAUGUAAAUUUUAAAGAUGAUACUAUAAAUUAAUGGCGAGAGCUUCACUAGUUAGAGAAAAUCGUGAUUCUGAAAAUGGUGAACAUGUUUUGUGUAGCUCUUCAUCGUUAGAACGUGUAGAUUUUUCUCAGAAUAUUUUUAUUCAAAAUGUGUUUUUUGCUUCUUUUUGCUCAGGACAUUAAUAAUAUCCAAUCUAACCCAAAUAUCCAAUCCAAUUCACAGGUCGAUUGGUAUGGAUUUUUUUUCAGUACUACAGUACUGCAAAACUAUCUCAUCAUGCAAAAAAGAUUUUUUAAACAAACAUCAACAACAUAACACAGACAAUCAUAGCACAUGAGAUAAAACCCACUAGCCAGCAGAGUAACACAGCAACAAUAUAUAUCCAGAUCAUGGAAACAAUACUCUUAAUAGCAACUGUUAAGAGAAAGCAACAGCAGAGAAGGAACAAAUCUCGCUAGUACAACUUCAGGUUAUAUAGGACAUUGUAAACAUAGCAGGCAACUUUCCUCCUCAAACGACCAGAGCCUUACAGUCCAUUCCAUCCUUGCCUAACAAAAAUGCAACCUAAGACCUGGGCUUCUCCUUCUUCUCCUUGAAGAGAGCGAGAAGCGACACACCAGAUACCUUGACAACCUUGAACCUGACACCGGGAAUAUCUCCCACGGCAUGACCCUUACGACCGAAUCCAGCAAUCAGCACCUCGUCCUGAAGCAUCCAUCAAGUCAAGAGGUUAGGUUGGUUGCAUAUAGCAGACAUAUCACAUAUAUGCGAGCAAUGGAGGUUAGGUUGGCUGCAUAUAGCAGACAUAUCGCAUAUAUCUGAGAAAUGGGUGAGGGGCACAUACGUUCUCCUCGAUGAAGUUCAGGCAACCAUCAUUGGGCACAAAGGCAGCGAUCUUCUUCCCGUUCUUCACCAGCUGGACACGAGCACACUUACGGAUGGCAGAGUUAGGCUG
rnacentral:lncRNA from 1 species